rnacentral:lncRNA from 1 species
CAAAGGAAACUGUUGGGUACACCUUCUAUCAUAGAUCCGAAGGCAAGACAUUCGUUGCCAAGAAUGGAUCCUUUCUAGAGAAGGAUUUUCUCUCGAAAGAAGUGAGUGGGAGGAAAGUAGAACUUGAUGAGGUAAUUGUACCUGCUCCCGUCGGAAAGUAGUUCAUCACAGAAAUCAGUUCCUAUGACUCCUACACCAAUUAGUGAGGAAGCUAAUGAUGAUGAUCAUGUAACUUUAGAUCAAGUUACUACUGAACCUCGUAGGUCAACCAGAGCAAGAUCCGCACCAGAGUGGUAUGGUAAUCAUGUUCUGGAGGUCAUGUUACUUGACCAUGACGAACCUAUGAACUAUGAGGAAGCGAUGAUGAGCCCAAAUUCCGUGAAAUGGUUUGAGGCCAUGAAAUCUGAGAUGGGAUCCAUGUAUGAGAACAAAGUGUUGACUUUGGUUGACUUGCCCGAUGAUCGGCAAGCCAACAAGAAUAAAUGGAUCUUCAAGAAGAAGACUGAUGUUGACCGUAAUGUUACUGUCUACAAAGCUCGACUUAUUGCGAAAGGUUUUUGACAAGUUCAGGGAGUUGACUACGAUGAGACCUUCUGACCCAUAGCGAUGCUUAAGUCCGUCCAAAUCAUGUUAGCAAUUGCUGCAUUUUAUGAUUAUGAAAUUUGGCAAAAGGAUGUAAAGACUGUAUUCCUGAAUGGAUUUCUGGAAGAAGAGUUGUAUAUGAUGCAACCUGAAUGUUUUAUCGAUCCAAAGGAUGCUAACAAAGUGUGCAAGCUCCAGCGAUCCAUUUAUGGACUGGUGCAAGCAUCUCGGAGUUGGAAUAAAAGUUUUGAUAGUAUAAUCAAAGCAUAUGGUUUUCUACAGACUUUUGGAGAAGCUUGUAUUUACAAGAAAGUGAGUGGGAGCUCUGUAGCAUUUCUAAUAUUAUAUGUGGAUGACAUAUUGUUGAUUGGAAAUGAUAUAGAAUUUCUGGAUAGCAUAAAAGGAUAUUUGAAUAAGAGUUUUUCAAUGAAAGACCUCGAUGAAGCUGCUUAUAUAUUGGGCAUCAAGAUCUAUAGAUAUAGAUCAAGAUGCUUAAUUGGACUUCCACAAAGCACAUACCUUGAUAAAGUUUUGAAGGAGUUCAAAAUGGAUCAAGCAAAGAAAGGGUUCUUGCCUGUGUUACAAGGUGUGAAGUUGAGUCAGACUCAAUGCCCGACCACUGCAGAAGAUAGAGAGAAUGAAAGUCAUUCCCUCUGCUUCAGCCAUAGGUUCUAUCAUGUAUGCAAUGCUUUGUACCAGACCUGAUGUGUGCCUUGCUAUUAGUUUAGUAGCAAUGUACCAAAGUAAUCCAGGAGUGGGUCAUUGGACAGCGGUCAAGAACAUCCUGAAAUACCUGAAAAGGACUAAGGAUAUGUUUCUCGUUUAUGGAGGUGACAAAGAGCUUGUCGUAAAUGGUUAUGUCGAUGCAAGCUUUGACACUAAUAUGGAUGACUCUAAGUCACAAAUUGGAUACAUAUUUAUAUUGAACGGUGGAGCUGUAAGUUGGUGCAAUUCUAAGCAAAGCGUCGUGGCGGGAUCUACGUGUGAAGUGGAGUACAUAGCUGCUUCGGAAGUAGCAAAUGAAGGAGUCUAGAUGAAGGAGUUCAGAUCCGAUCUAGGUGUCAUACCUAGUGCAUCAUGUCCAAUGAAAAUCUUUUGUGACAAUACUGGUGCAAUUGCCUUGGCAAAGGAAUCCAGAUUUCACAAGAGAACCAAGCACAUCAAAAGACGCUUCAAUUCCAUCUGCAAUCAAGUCAAGGAGGGAGACAAAGAGAUUUGCAAGAUCCAUACGGAUCUGAAUGUUGUAGACCCGUUGACUAAGCCUCUCUCACGAGCAAACCUUGAUCAGCACCAAGACUCCAUGGGUGUUAGAAUCAUUACUAUGUAAUCUAGAUUAUUGACUCUAGUGCAAGUGGGAGACUGAAGGAAAUAUGCCUUGGAGGCAAUAAUAAAGUUGUUAUUUAUAUUUCCUUAUAUCAUGAUAAAUGUUUAUUAUUCAUGCUAGAAUUGUAUUAACCGGAAACUUAGUACAUGUGUGAAUACAUAGACAAACAGAUUGUCACUAGUAUGCCUCUACUUGACUAGCUCGUUCAAUCAAAGAUGGUUAAGUUUCCUAGCCAUAGAAAUGAGUUGUCAUUUGAUUAACGGAUCACAUCAUUAGAGAAUGAUGUGAUUGACUUGACCCAUUCCGUUAGCUUAGCACUUGAUCGUUUAGUUUAUUGCUAUUACUUUCUUCAUGACUUAUACAUGUUCCUAUGACUAUGAGAUUAUGCAACUGUCGAAUACCGGAGGAACACUUAGUGUGUUAUAGAACGUCACAACGUAAGUGGGUGAUUAUAAAGAUGCUCUACAGGUGUCUCUGAUGGUGUGUGUUGAGUUGGCAUAGAUCGAGAUUAGGAUAUGUCACUCCAAGUAUCGGAGAGGUAUCUCUGGGCUCUCUCGGCAAUGCACAUCACUAUAAGCCUUGCAAGCAAUGUGACUAAUGAGUUAGUUACGGGAUGAUGCAUUACAGAACGAGUAAAGAGACUUGCCGGUAACGAGAUUGAACUAGGUAUUGAGAUACCGACGAUCGAAUCUCGGGCAAGUAACAUACCGAUGACAAAAGGAACAACGUAUGUAGUUAUGUGGUUUGACCGAUAAAGAUCUUCGUAGAAUAUGUAGGAACCAAUAUGAGCAUCUAGGUUCCGCUAUUGGUUAUUGAUCGGAGAUGAGUCUCGGUCAUGUCUACAUAGUUCUCUAACCCAUAGGGUCCGCAUGCUUAACAUUCGGUGACGAUCGGUAUUAUGAGUAUAUGUGUUUUGAUGUACCGAAGGUUGUUCAGAGUCUCAGAUGUGAUCAUGGACAUGACGAGGAGUCUCGAAAUGGUCUAGACAUAAAGAUCGAUAUAUUGGAUGGCUAUGUUUGGACAUCAGAAUGGUUUCGGGUGAGUUCGGGCAUUUACCAGAGUACCAGGAGGUUACCGAAACCCCCCGGGGAGUACAUGGGCCUUAUUGGGCCUUAAUGGGAGAGAGGAGGAGGCGUCCAAGUAGGGGGCGCACCCCCCCCCCCCCGCCAAGCCCAAUCCGAAUUGGGUGGGGGGCGGCCCCCUUUCCUUCAUUCAUCUCUCCUCCUUCCUUCCUCUCCUACUCCAACUAGGGAAGGGGGUGAAUCCUACUCAUGAUGGGAGUAGGACUCCCCUAGGGCGCGCCAUAGAGAGGGUCGGCCCCUCCCCUCCUCCACUCCUUUAUAUACGGGGGAGGGGGCACCCCAUAUACACACAAGUUGAUUGUUUAGCCGUGUGCGGUGCCCCCUCCAUAGAUUUCCCCCUUGGUCAUAUCGUUGUAGUGCUUAGGCAAAGCCCUGCAUCGGUAACUUCAUCAUCACCGUCAUCACGCCAUCGUGCUGACGAAGCUCUUCCCCGACACUCAGCUGGAUCUAGAGUUCGUGGGACGUCACCAAGCUGAACGUGUGCAGAUCACGGAGGUGUCGUACUUUCGGUACUAGGAUCGGUCAGAUCAUGAAGACAUACGACUACAUCAACCGCGUUGUCAUAACGCUUCCGCUUUCGGUCUACAUGGGUACGUCGACAACACUCUUCCUCUUGUUGCUAUGCAUCACCUAAAUGGAUAUUGCGUGUGCGUAGGAAUUUUUUUGAAACUACUGUGUUCCCCAUCAGAAGACUUCUUUGAUACUUACUCACCUAUGGCUCAACUGACCACUAUUCGAGUACUACUUUCACUAGUGUAACACCCCGGAUACAACUUUCCAUAUUCAUAACUCCAACUCUUGUCUUUUCCGGAGAUGCUAUAUGAUUUUUCCUUCGUGGUUGGGUUUUAUCUGUUGUUUUGCAUUUUGUUCUUGUUAUGCAUCUCAUAUCAUGUCAUCAUCUGCAUUUCAUCCGCCUGUUUUUCAAAACUUGCAUCCGUUCGUGUUCUGCCGGUUCUCUCCGUUGUCCGUUCCGAGUCCGAACACACUUGCACGCGCCCGCGGCACCUCCGAAAUAUGAUUUUAUAAGUGGCAUAAAAAUGUUCUCAGAAUGGGUUGCAACUUGUCGUGCAGUCUUAUUAUAGUGUAGACAGGCCGCCUGCCAAGUUUCGUCGCAUUCGGAGUCCAUUUGGUAGCCCAACCGUUAAACCUACAACCGCAAUAUAGCCGGUCUAUCGUCGGACGUUUUCGGUCUCCGAAAAUCGUGUUGGGCUGCAUUUGUCCUCUCUCUCCUAUCAGCCCAAGCCUCUCUCACACAGCCCACUAGCCCACCUAUCUAACCCCCCUCUGCUCCGGACCGUUGGAUCGAGAUCCGAUGUCCGAAAACGGAGCAGCUACCCCCUAAACCCUAGCUUUUACCCUAUAUAUAGACGCCCUCAUGCCAUUUUGGGCAUCUCCUAGCCGCUUCCCUCGUUUUCCGUGCCCCUCCACAGUGCCGCCGCCGCCCGAGCGCCCGAGUGCCCCGCGUCCCCGCGCCUUCUCCCGCGCCGUAGCGCAUCCCCGCCGCCCGCUUGCCUGGCAUCUCCCCGCCGGCCAGAGCUCGUCGGAACCCCGCCGGGCAUCGCCAUCGCCGACCCCCCCAAGGCUAGGCCUCGCCGUCCCCUGCUCCCUUUUCUCUCCCUCUCGCUCCUCUCUCUCUCUCAGAUCUCACAUCUCUCUCCCUCUCUGCCAUGGUUUGUCAGGAGCUCGUCGCUGCUCGCCGUAGGUGCUGCCGUGGCUGGAUCCAGGGUCCCCAUGCCCGAAUCUGCCCGUUUCUGCCGGAACUGCCCCGCGCCGCCCCGUCCUUGCCUGCUCGCCGCCGGCGCCAUCUAUCGCCGCCACCCUGCCUCGUCUCUGCUCAGGAACGAGGAGCUCGAUGCCUCGCCUGCUCGUGCAUGCGCGUGCGCGUGGGCCUCCAGCCGGCCCAGCCCAGCUCUCUCUAGCGCCGGCCUGCCCAGUUCCCUCGCCUCCUGGAUCAGAUCCGCAGUAGGCCCAACGCGCCCGGCCAGCCCCGCUGGCCUGCUCCACCGCGCCCUCCCGCGGGCUGCCUUCCCGUCUGGGCCGAGCCCAAGGGUGAGCCGCCCCCAGCGCCUCUUGUUUUUUUUUACUGUUGGCCCAGCCGGUUUUGGCCCGUGAUGUUUUUUUCCUGCCAGGACGAUUUUAUCUAUUUAUCCGGGAAUUAAUGUUUUACAGAAAACCCCUUGCACUUCAUGCAUUUAAUUACUCACAAACCGUUCAUCGGAUUAAAAUGAUUUAAACAUGUAAAAUGCUCAGAAAAUUGUGUAGAUUAAUAAUAUGCCAUUUUCAUCCAUGUUAAAAAUGUUAAAAAUGUUGUUUGUUUAAAUUUGCUAAAAUUGCCAUGCUAAAAUGAUUUAUUUCAUAACUAAAUAACCGUAGCUCGGUUUUAAAUAACUUUAUAUGUAUUUGGGGUGGAAAAAUGCCUAGAUUAACUUGGUGCACUUUAUUUUCCUGUUUAACAACAAUAAAAUUGUGUUUAUGGCAGAACAGUACCAAAUUCAUUUUAUGCACAUAGGGAUAUUCCGGAAUUGUUGUUUGUUGUUUCCGGCCUCACUUAAACUUGCCUAGAUAGGUAGAUUAAUUAUGUUUCACCUCUUGACCUGUUUAACAACAUUUAAUAUUGUUGUGUACCUAAACGAGAUUAAACUAAAUAUGUCAAUGUGGUGUUUCGUCAAUAUGCAACUCGUUGCAUAUCGAGCUCCACUUAACUUGUAGUAUUGCUUGUUGCACUUUGCCAUGCCAUGCCUCAUUAAACCGGACAUGCAUCAUACUUGUUUGUGCAUCAUGCCAUGCUUAUGCUUGUUGGUUUACCAUGUUGUUUGUUUCUUUCCGGUAUUGCUUCUUAGUUCCGGUAAUGUUGCGAUUGUGAGGAUUCGUUUGACUACGUCCGCUUGUCUUCUUCAUGGACUCGUUCUUCUUCCUUGCGGGAUUUCAGGCAAGAUGACCGCUACCCUGGAUCUCACUACUAUCAUUGCUAUGCUAGUUGCUUCGUUCUAUCGCUAUGUUGUGUUACCUAUCACCUGUUUAUCAAGCCUCCCAAAUUGCCAUGAACCUCUAACCUUUGACACCCUUCCUAGCAAACCAUUGCUUGGCUAUGUUACCGCUUUGCUCAGCCCCUCUUAUAGUGUUGCUAGUUGCAGGUGAAGUUGAAGAUUGCUCCAUGGUGGACAGGAUUUUGGUUGGGAUAUCACAAUAUCUCUUAUAUUAUUAAUGCAUCUAUAUAUUCGGUAAAGGGUGGAAGGCUCGGCCUUAUGCCUGGUGUUUUGUUCCACUCUUGCCGCCCUAGUUUCCGUCAUACCGGUGUUAUGUUACCGGAUUUUGCGUUCCUUACGCGGUCGGGUGAUUUAUGGGACCCCCUCGACAGUUCGCUUUGAAUAAAACUCCUCCAGCAAGGCCCAACCUUGGUUUUACCAUUUGCCUCACCACUACCUACUUUUCCCUUGGGAGUAAUUAACCCAAGGGUCAUCUUUAUUAUAGCCCCCCCCCGGGCCAGUGCUUGUCUAAGUGUUGGUCCAAACUAGAGCCCUUUGCAACGCCCCCUCAGGGAAACUUGAGGUCUGGUUUUAGUUGUACGGAUUGCUCAUCCGGUGUUGCCCUGAGAACGAGAUAUGUGCAGCUCCUAUCGGGAUUGUCGGCGCAUCGGGCGGCUUUGCUGGUCUUGUUUUACCAUUGUCAAAAUGUCUUGUAAACCGGGAUUCCGAGUCUAAUCGGGUCUUCCUGGGAGAAGGUCUAUUCCUUCAUUGAUCGCGAGAGCUUGUCAUGGGCUAAGUUGGGACACCCCAGCAGGGUAUAAUCUUUCAAAAGACGUGCCUGCGGUUAUAGGCAGAUGGGAAUUUGUUAAUGUCCGGUUGUAGAUAACUUGACACCAUAUCCGAAUUAAAACGCAUCAACCGUGUGUGUAGCCGUGAUGGUCUCUUUUUGGUAGAGUCCGGGAAGUGAACACGGUUUUGGGUUAUGUUUGACGUAAGUAGGAGUUCAGGAUCACUUCUUGAUCAUUGCUAGCUUCACGACCGUUCCGCUUGCUCUCUCCUCGCUCUUAUUUGCGUAUGUUAGCCACCAUAUAUGCUUAGUCGCUGCUGCAGCCUCACCACUUUACCCCUUCCAUUCCCUUUAAGCUUUGUUAGUCUUGAUACCCAUGGUAAUGGGAUUGCUGAGUCCUCGUGGCUCACAGAUUACUACAACAACAGUUGCAGGUACAGGUUAUGUGAUGAUCAUGACGCGAGAGCGAUGCUUGCUUGCUUUGAGUUCUUCUUCUGCUUCUUCUUCGGUCAGGGGAUAGGUUCCAGGUCGGCAGCCUGGGCUAGCAGGGUGGAUGUCGUUUGAGUUUCUGUUUGUGAUUCAUCCGUAGUCGGAUGAUGCUCUUUUGUAUUGUGAUGUUGUAUUCAUGUGUCAUUGUAUGCCUUAUGUAUGUAUCCCCAUCUAUUAUGUAAUGUUGAUGUAAUGAUAUCCACCUUGCCAAUGCGUUUCCAUAUGCGGGUCUAUCCUUGGUGGGACCUUCGAGUUCCUUUUGGAUAGGGUCGCAUAUUGGGCGUGACAACUAGCUACCUCACACGGUCUUCUCGUUCAUCAAAUCGAUGUUAAGACUACUUUCCUAAAUAGAGAGUUGGAUGAGGAAUUUUAUAUGGAACAACCAGAUGGGUUUGUAGUAGAUGGUCAGGAAGGAAAAGUGUGCAAGUUGCUGAAGUCUUUGUAUUGACUUAAGCAAGCACCCAAGCAGUGGCAUGAGAAGUUUGAAAGAACUUUAACAGCUGCAGGCUUUGUUGUAAACAAAGCUGAUAAAUGUGUGUACUAUAGACAUGGUGGGGGCGAGUGAGUUGUCCUUUGCUUGUAUGUCGAUGACAUACUGAUUUUCAAAACAAAUCUAAAUGUUAUUAAGGAGGUCAAGGAUUUCCUAUCUCGUUGUUUUGAGAUGAAGGAUUUAGGAGUGGCUGAUGUUAUUCUAAACAUCAAGCUAUAGAGAGACGAUGAUGGCGGGGUUACAAUGCCUCAAUCUCACUAUGUGGAAAAGAUCUUGAGUCACUUUGGCUGUAGUGACUGCAAGCCCUCUCCAACACCAUAUGAUGCUACUGUGCUGCUUCGAAAGAAUCGAAGAAUUUCUAGAGAUCAAUUGAAAUAUUCUCUGGUUAUUGGCUCUCUUAUGUAUUUAGCUAGUGCUCUCUUAUGUAUUUAGCCAAUGCUACAAGACCUGACAUCUAUUUUGUUGUUAGCAAACUGAACCGAUUUGUUUCAAAACCGGGAGAUGGUCAUUGGAAAUCUCUAGAGAGAGUCAUGCAUUAUUUGAAAGGCACUGCGAAUUAUGGAAUUCACUAUACUGGGUACCCAAAGGUACUGGAAGGCUAUAGUGACUCAAACUGGAUCUCAUAUGCUGAUGAUAUAAAGGCCACGAGCGGAUAUGUAUUCACUCAUGGAGGAGGCGCGUUUCUUGUAAGUAUUGCAAGCAGACCAUCUUAACGAGGUCAACAAUGGAAACAGAGCUCACAUCACUAGAUACAGCUACGGUCGAAGCAGAUUGGCUUCAUCGGCUCUUGAAUGACUUGUCGGUUGUUGAGGAACAUGUACCGGGUAUCCUUAUGAACUGCGACAAUCAAACUAUGAUCACGAAGGUGAGCAACUCAAAGGAUAACAUGAAGUCAUCACGACACGUUCAGAGAAGGUUAACAUUUAUUAGGAAAAUGUAAACUCUGGAGUUAUUGCAUUGGACUAUACCCAAACAUCUAAAAAUCUGGCGGAUCCUUUUACUAAGGGUCCAUCAUGUAAUGUGACAGAUAAUGCAUCGAAGGAGAUGGGUAGGAGACCCACAAUAUGAGUUUGUUCAUAGUGGUAACCUAGUCUAUGUGAUCAGAGAUCCCGUGAAUUAGAUGUGGAAGACAAGUUUUUGGUAAACUGAGAGGAGAGUAUCCUUACUGUUAACAAUACCACUCCAUGAAGAUGCAAUACUCUCCUAAUCUGCAUGGCAGGUUGAUGUAUAUCUUCAUGUGUUCUAAGUGGCUCAUCUAAGCAGAGAUGUUGUCCUGCAGAACAUCUUUUGAAGAACACACCUAUAUGAGUCUGAUUGUUAAAAGCCGCAAUCUAUGAGAGUAGGGAAGUCCCAUGAAAGGUCUCGGAGUAUGACGCAUAAGCUCCAGCCGUGGGGAAGUCCCACGGUAGCCUAGUAUCGGUCAAGGCUUUGUGUGAAGCUAGAUUUGCAGAAAAUUUGCAGUUCAAGGCCUAGUCCACUGUUCAAGUUGCUUACUAGUGUAGCAUAGAUUUCUAGGUGGAAGUUGAACUUAAUAGUCUCCACUGCAAUACCGGUAUAUAAAAUAGUGUUUCUGAACUAAAGGCAACUUUUAUGUGCCUCUAGGAUCUGGUGGGGGAUUGCUGGAAUUUUGUCUGUUUUGGGCUAGCACAAUAGUAUUUUCAAAAAUUCCUAAUAAAUCCUAGAGGCCCACUCAGCCCAUUCGUGCAAGGCAAGGGGUGGGACUAAAGUUUUGUCCCACAUUGCUAGUUUGGUGGGAGUAAGGGAGGUUUUUCCCCACAUGUAUGAGCAUGAGAACAAGAGAGACAUAUGUGCUCCUCCUCCUCCUGGCCACGCCACGCCUCGUCACGACGCAUCGCGCCGCGGGUUGCGGGAAUGAGCCGAGCCGAUGUCUAAAUUUUUGCUGCACACGACUGGUAUACGAAAGGUCACACGGAAGCCGAAAAGUUUUUGCUAUAGUGGAGACUGAAUGUGAACGGCGCAUCCCUUCAGCUCCUGGUUGUUCGCUUCAUCUCCGUCUCUUCGUUUCACCUUCCGUUGCUGCCUUCUCGCCUUGUUCCCAUGUGCCUAUAAAAGAGAGGUCGCUCCUCUCCACAGGCACACACCAUACCAUCUCCUCUCUCUACCAAGUUUCAACCUUUUAGCUACUGCAAGGAUUCUUCCCCAUUCCGUCUUGCGGCAUGCACCGCGGGUCGGGACAGUAGGCUCCGAACCAUCACAUCAUUGAGUCCUAUACGAGAGAAGGGUGAUAAGGAUUUUUGAGAGCGCUCUGUGCGACUACUGACUUCUUCAUCACAGAUGCUCCGGACACCGACGAUGACUUCCCCAACGACGACUUCUUUCCCGACGUCGACAACCUCUUCAACGACAUGGCCGGCGAGGACGUCGGCCCCAAGAUCAAUGCUUAUGUUGCUUCUCCGUACGUUCUCAUCAUCUUUAUGUUUGAGUUCCUACAACAGUUUCUAUUUCUCCUUCUAGUAUCUAUUCUACAUAUGUUCUGUUCUAGUUCACAUGUGCAGAUGCUAUUUGCCUUCUCUCUUUUAGAUUACAUGACUUGUUUCAUCUCUACUAUGAUAGUCAUGUUUUUCCUACUAGUUCUGUUAAUAAAAUCAUAUGGUAAAUUGCUCAUAUUUCCAACACAUACAUCAAGAGCCAUCUAGCUAGACUGGUAAUCAAGUGGUCUUCCAAAGCUAGCUAGCUAAAUGAACCUGCAUUGUAGUAGAAAAAACUUAGAUAGGUUGUAAUAAUAAAGCAGAGUAUCAUAAAACAGUUGUAUGCAUACAAAGGGAUCCAUGUAGAAUGGCCGAGGAUAGAUCCUGGUUGAUUAUUCAAUGUGAUGCCCGGUCCAGCGCCCCCUCCCCACCCCCUGUUAUCGAUGGCUUUGGCUUUGAACACAAGUAACACAAGUAUGUUAUGCCACUGGGCAAUCUCAGUGGCCCAAACAACUCUUCAUCUGAAAUCUCUUGAUCUGGCUAUGUAUGUUCAGAAUUACCCCUAGAUUUUGUGGUUUCAUGAACCUUAAGGAACUCACACUAAACAAGGUAUCUAGCAACUCAUGUGAUUUCCAGUGUAUGUUGCCAAGUUGUGCUCUUCUUUAGAGUUUAACACAUGUUUGUUUGAGCUUCGGCUUCAACCUUUUGUUGCUUCUAGACCCCUAAGAGCAGAAGCCCCGCCAAACAGCUAAUUUCACGGUUGGUCUUCUGAAAGUGCAACUAUCCCUGGGUGGUUUUGGUAAUUCCUAACAACAUAUAUCUCAUUGAGCUAAUGCUAUUUCAAGAUAAAUAUUUCAGGAAAGCUCAAUGAUUGGCAUGGCAUGGAUGAGAAAAGUGGAUCCCUCAAAAUGCUAAGGACAAAAGGAUUGGCUCAAGCUCAAAGCACAAGACUCUACAUUUUCUAUUUUAGUGAUUCAAGAUCACAUUGAGUCUAUAGGAAAAGCCAAUACUAUCAAGGAGGGAUGAGGUGUUGCUUAAUGGCUUUCUUGCUCAAAAUGCUUAGUGAUAUGCUCCAAAGCCCUCAACUACUUUCUCACAUCCACAUAUGACCCAAACCAAAAGUCCAACUCGGCCUCACCGAUUCCUUCUAUCUGGCGCCACCGAGUUUAUAUGUCAUAGCCACUGCCACAAACCCUAAUCAAAUCAGUCUCACCGAUAGGGAUCUCGGUCUCACCGAGAUGGGAUUGUAAUCUCUCUGUUUCCCUUCGUAACGUUUCGGUCCAACCGAGAUGAGCGAUCGGUCCCACCGAGAUUGCAAUGCAAACUCUCUGUUUCCCUUUUGUAAUGUUUCGGUCCAACCGAGAUGAGCGAAUCGGUCCCACCGAGUUUGCCUGACCAACCCUCUGUGUGUCCAUUACCAAAAUCGGUCUCACUGAGUUUGAGUAAUCGGUCUCACCAAGAUUACGUUAUGCCCUAACCCUAACCAUAUUGGUCCCACCGAAAAUCCUAACGGUCACAUUAUUUGCUGAAUCGGUCCGACCGAGUUUGACGAUUCGGUCCCACCGAGAUUUGUAAGUUGUGUGUAACGGUUAGAUUUUGUGUGGAGGCUAUAUAUACCCCUCCACCCACUCUUCAUUCGUGGAGAGAGCCAUCAGAACAUGCCUACACUUCCAACCUACAUUUUCUGAGAGAGAACCACCUACACUUGUGUUGAGGUUAAGAUAUUCCAUUCCUACCAUAUGAAUCUUGAUCUCUAGCCUUCCCCAAGUUGCUUUACACUCAAAUUUUCUUUCCACCAAAUCCAAAUCCUGUGAGAGAGAGUUGAGUGUUGGGGAGACUAUCAUUUGAAGCACAAGAGCAAGGAGUUCAUCAUCAACACACCAUUUGUUACUUCUUGGAGAGUGGUGUCUCCUAGAUUGGCUAGGUGUCACUUGGGAGCCUCCGACAAGAUUGUGGAGUUGAACCAAGGAGUUUGUAAGGGCAAGGAGAUUGCCUACUUCGUGAAGAUAUACCCUAGUGAGGCAAAUCCUUCGUGGGCGACGGCCAUGGUGGGAUAGACAAGGUUGCUUCUUCGUGGACCCUUCGUGGGUGGAGCCCUUCGUGGACUCGUGCAGCCGUUACCCUUCAUGGGUUGAAGUCUCCGUCAACGUGGAUUUAUGAUAGCACCACCUAUCGGAACCAUGACAAAAACAUCCAUGUCUCCAAUUGCGUUUGCCUUCUCAGACUCCUCCCCUUUACCUUCAUAUGCAAUUGUUUUACAUUCCGCUGCUAUACUCUUAGAAUUGCAUGUGUAGGCUGAUUGCUUGACUUGUGCUAAGUUGCUAAAAUCUGCCAAGAACUAAAAUUGGGAAAAGGCUAGAUUUUUAUUUGGUCAAGUAGUCUAAUCACCCCCCCUAGACAUACUUUCGAUCCUACAAGUGGUAUCAGAGCUUUGGUUUCCAUUUUCUUUGAUUUCCAUAGCUUUUGGUGGUCAUAGCCUUGGUUUCACAACCUAGGAGAGUAUGACGUCUAGCGAGGGAAAUUACCACCAUAGAGGUCCUUACUUUUAUGGUACUAAUUUUGCUAGUUGGAAGCAUAAGAUGAAAAUGCAUAUUCUUGGACAUAACCCUGACGUUUGGGCUAUUGUGUGUAUUGGCUUGCAAGGUGAAUUAUUUGAUGGGAGAGAACCGAACCGUGAAGCUACCGCGGAAGAAUUGAAGAUGCUACAAUACAAUGCUCAAGCUUGUGAUAUCCUCUCAACGGAUUGUGCCCUGAAGAAUUCAACAAAAUCAGCCGUCUUGAGAAUGCAAAGGAAAUUUGGGAUACAUUGAUUGAUAUGCACGAAGGUACCGACUCCGUCAAGGAAUCCAAGUUAGAUGUGCUUCAAAGUCUGCUUGACAAGUUCAAAAUGAAGGAUGGUGAAGGUGUCGCCGAAAUGUACUCUAGGCUUGCUCUUAUCACAAAUGAGAUUGCCGGCUUAGGAAGUGAAGAGAUGAUCGACAAAUUCAUCAUCAAGAAGAUCCUAAGAGCUUUGGAUGGAAAAUAUGAUACCAUGUGCACAUUGAUCCAAAUGAUGCCAAAUUACAAAGAUCUCAAGCCAACAGAAGUCAUUGGAAGAAUUGUUGCUCAUGAGAUGUCACUCAAGGAUAAGGAGGAGCUCCACAACAAGUCAAGUGGUGCUUACAAAGCGUCAUGUGAAGCUCCCACAUCAUCAAGUGAGAAACAAACCUUCAAUGAAGAAUUGAGCCUAAUGGUGAAGAACUUCAACAAGUUCUACAAGAGUAGAAGCAAGGAAAGAAGUUCCAAGUCAAGGUCCUACAAUGACCAAAGAUCUUCUAGUCGUGAGCAUAAUUGCUACAAUUGUGGAAGACCCGAACACUAUUCCAAUGAGUGUACGGACCCUACAAAAGAAGAGAAGAUUCUCCAAAAAGAAGAAGUAGAAGAGAAGAAUCACCAUAAGAGAAAGAAGGAGUAGAGAUGAUCGUUAUGAACGAAGAACAUACCGGAGAAGCAAGGAUUCGGAAAGGAAGGACAAGUCAUCAAGGAGCUACACAAAACGAAGACAUCAAGCUCAUGUUGGUGAAUGGAUAUCCGGCUCCGACUCCGACAAUCACUCCGAGAGAAGCUAUCACUCCGACUCUGAAUAUACUCAAGAUGAAGGUGUUACCGGUCUAGCACUUGUGUCUACCAACUCCUACAACAUAUUUGAUUCACCAAAUUAAGGACUUGGAAGAUGCUUCAUGGCUAAAGGCCCAAAGGUAUCACACCCCGAGUAUGUUGAUUUCAAUAGUGAUGAAGAUGAUUUGUUAGGUGAUGAUGAUUUACUUGUUGACAACUGUAGUGAUGAAUAAUAUGAUGAAAUGUAAAUUAAUCAUGCUAAUCAAGAUAAAACGAAUGACAAUGAUAAGGAGAAGAUUAAGCUCCUAACUAAAGAACUAAACACUCUUAAGUUAGCUCAUGAAACUAUCUUAGGAGAUCAUCGAGAACUUUUAAGGACUCAUGAGAAGUUACGCUUUGAAAAGCUCAACCUUGAGCAAGAGCAUGAGUUCUUAAAGGCAAUCAAUGAUGAUCUUCGCAAGAAAAGUUCUUCUUACAUUGCCAAGCGUUUACUCUUAUCUACUUACAUGCCUCAUGUCAAGUCUAGUAACAAGAACAAGAAAGAUUCUUCCUCUAGUAGUAAUAAUAAUCAUGCUAAAUCUAGUGUUGUUGCUUCUAGUAGUUCUCUUGAUUCCACUAAUGAUUCUCUUAGCCAAGUUACACUUGAGCAAGAAAAUAGCCUUUUGAAGGGAAUUAUAGAGAAAGGUGUUUACAAGAGCCUUCCGGGAGUAAGCAAUUCAAGGAAAUUGUGCACAAGCAAGGAAGGCACCGGAAGAACCAAGGUGUUGGUUUUGAACGAAAGUUCAAUGCCAAUGGAGUUGAGUGGGAAGAAGAUCAAUACCCCAAGACAAAGUUUGUUCCUCAACAAGAGAAGUAUGAUCCUACUUCUUUCAAAGGGACACAAGCUCAAGAUGAUCUUCCACCACAAGACCACAAGCAAAAAGGCAAGGACAAGCUUCAAGAGGAGAUUGAUGCAUUUGAAGAAGCUCCUAAGGCCUUAGUCAAGUGGGUUCCCAAGACUACAUCAAGUUCUACUUCAUCAAGUUCGACUAUGUCUCCAAGGAUUCCCAUCAAGAUGAUGUGGAUCCCGAAUAAGAAGAACUAGAGAGUUCUUGAGGGUGACUCCGCCAACGUACUUCACUCAUAUCAUUUGGCAAGAACAAGUGCAAUCAACCUCCACAUCUUGCACUAGUUCAAGGAGUCACAAACCCUCUUGUUGGUAAGACAAGGGACAAGGUAACCCAAUGCUUUCAUGGACAUCAUCUUGUCUGUGCAUCACUCUAUGUCUAUGGAUAUCCUUGUUUGUUCCUUGUGGGACUAACCCGUGUAGGUAUUGAAAGUGCAACUCACUCCAAAGGAUUGCUCCAAAUGAUCUGCAUCAACAUUGAGCAUCCACAUCUUCAACACCUACAUGAAGUCAUCAUCGACAAAAUCCAAGGUUAGUUCAUCCCUCUUAGGGGGGAUCUCACAUCUAGGGGGAGCUUUACUCUAAGAAUUGAGCUAAAGCAACUCUAAUGCUGUGAACACAACAAUGCUUUAUGUAACGGUGGUAACCCCACUUGUGCUUAAACAAUGAGUAUGACCUAUGAUCAAAUGUUCUCAUUUGACUCCUAAGUCAAUAUACUCAUAUAUAGAUGACCUAGUCAUCGCCAAUUGCUUGAUAGAUGCUAGAAUUGUGUGUGCAUGCUUUGUCACAUAUUUCAUUUGCCAUUUUAUUGUGUGAGCAUGUUGGUUGCAUAUUUUACUCAUUCGAGGACAUCCACUUGUAGUUUUGAUUGUUUGGUCUCUUUUUCUUUUUGCCAAGUGGAUGGACAAGAAUGCCUAAGGACCUUAUCUAGCUAUCUUUUCUUUUCUUGUCUCAAAAUCUAUUCAUGCUAUAUCAUGAUUUGAGCCACUCUGUGUGAGGAGCACUCGGAGUCCCUGAUUCGUCAUAGACUUAAACUUACAAAACCACUUUGUGCGUUUCAGUCUGACCGAUUCAACCUUUUUGGUCAUACCGAGAUCACUAAGUUGAUCUAGGUUUUCAAUCUCGGUGCAACCGAUUUGAACUUCUCGGUCACAUCGAGUUGCAGUAACUGCUUGCAGUAAUGCAUCUCGGUGCCACCGAGUUGUUCCACUCGGUCACACCGACAGGGUCAGGCUAUAUAUACCCCCGGGCCAAAAUUUGGAAAUCUUUCCGAAACCCUUCGCCCGCGCACAGCCUGCUCUGCCUCUUCGGGUCUCCGGAUCGUCCUCCUUGUCGCCAGCGACCUCCCGCCACUGGUCUUUGCCGCCGUCAACGGGAUUCUGCUCCGCCGUUGCCGCCAUAGCAAAUCCAUCGCCGCAUUAGGGUAUGGAUUUGAUCUUUGUGCUAUUCCUAACUCCGAUUUUUAGCACAUUGCAUCGCCAUGAAUCUUGCCACAUUUGAAAUCUUCCUAUCCAGCAAAACUACUUCGUAGAUUAGUCUUGGAUUGAAAAUUUAGGGUUAGGUUUCCGCCGAAUUCAUCUCGGACCGACCGAGUUGUAGAAAUCGGUCUCACCGAUUUGGCUCAGGCCAUUGCACAUGUGAUUCUCGGUCUGGCCGAGAAUUGCAAAUUGGUGUGACCGAGAUCAAUUCUCCGUGAAACCCUAGCAUUCUCGGUGCCACCGAACUGUGACUUGGUCUAUCCAAGUUCACUUGUUUAGGUUCCAAAAGCUGCUUCGGUAUCACCGAGUUUACAAAUCGGUAGCUCCGAAAUGCUUUCUAUGGAAAACUAAAACUAAGUUUUUGACUCAAUGUUUUGCAAAAACCUCUGUGCUUUGUGAUGCUCAUCUACUCUACCUCGUCUACAUCUAUUCACAAGGUCUGCUAUCAGAGUUUGCAUUAUGUCAGAUCAGAGUGACGGUUAGAACAAGUCUGAGGAGCAAGUUCAUAUGAGUGAGGGCACUAGUCCCUCCAGCAGUUAUGAUGAGGGUAGCAGAAGCACACCCGGCAAUUUGCAAAAGGCAACCAGCAGGGCAAGGAAUAAGAAAACCUCAUAUUCUGAAGAUGAGUACUAUGUGGCUGUUGAGGAUGAGGCCACUUCCAAGAAGAAGAUGUUGAAGAAGGAAUAUGGCACAGCUGCAUCCACUAAGCCAUGGAUGCAAAAGAAGGCACCUGCCAGGAGAAUUCCCACUUCCAAACCUAGGAAGGUUGCCACUGGUGAAACCAUGAAGUUCACCAUUGAGUCUGAUGAUGAAGCUGAUGGCCAAGAUAAGAAGAAGAAGAGAGUCAAAACUACUACUACCAAAGUACUUGGCAAGCCCUCUAUGAGGAGAGACUCUAAAGAAGAAGAGGAAGAGGUUGCUGCACCAGCACCUAAAGCUCAAAAGCUGAUGGGAGAUGCUAUAAGAUCAGGGGCUGCUCCAUCUAAGCCAAAGAUGCUCCCAAGGCUGCUGCUCCUAAGCCCAAGUCUACACCUAAGAGGAACACUAGGAGUAUUCCAGCCGAAGAGAAGAACAAGGCCCAGUGCCUCAAGCUGCUGAAGAAGAUGAAGAUUCACUUGUCUUGAGAAAGUUGAACCCCAAGAUUCCUGAUCAUAAUGAUGCUCAUCCAGUUGCAGAGGAUAUGAAGCUCGGGAAGGAUGCAGGUCUGAGACUGUGGAGACAGACUGGUCCCUAUGCUGUCAAAAGAAGAACUGUAGUGGACUACAAGUUCCACACUAAGGAACAACAAGAUUUCUAUGAGACAGUUUUGCUUGACAAGAAGCCCAUAGUAUGUGACAUGAGAUGGGUUGACUGGGAGUACAUCAGGAAGAAUGAAGAGCACUAUCCAGGAGUGUAUGACAGCUUCAAUGCUUGUGGAGUAGAUGACUUUGUUGGCCAGAAGCUCACCAAGUGAAAUGAUGAGCUCAUUAUGCAGUUUUACUCCACAGCUCAUUUCUUCCCAGAUGGGAAGAUAGUCUGGAUGUCUAAGGGUACUUGGUACCAAUCAACAGUUGAGGAAUGGGCUGAGUUGAUAAAUGCUCCAAAAGAGAAUGAGGAUGACAUGGGUGUCUAUGCCAAGAAGAAGAAAGACCACAACUCUAUGGCUCACAUGUACAGAGAGAUCCCAGAUGUUGCACUAGAGACACAUAAGUUUGGAUCUGUACAUUACCUGUUGUCGGGAUUGCCUACUAUCAAGUGGAUCUUAAGGCACACUUUGCUUCCCAAGUCAGGUGAUCACAAGAUGAUCAGAGGCCAUGCAAUUAACUUGCUGCAUAUAUUUGAUGUGCCUCAGAAAUUCAAAGUCAUGAGCCUGAUUGUGGAAACAAUCAAAAGGACUGCUGCUGAUCAGAAGAGAUCUUGUGGGUAUGCCCCACACAUUCAAGAGCUCAUAAACUCCAAAAUGGGCACAUGCACAUAUCUUUUGGACAAGGAACACCUGCCCAUCUACCCUGAUUUUGAGGACAACACCAUUGUGAUGGAUGAAAAUGAACCAUCAUUUGUGCAAGCACAAGAGAAGAAAGAGAAAGCAAGGGCUGAGAAAGUUGCUAAGAUGCCAACUGCUGAAGAGGCAUCUCAGAUUUUCCUGAGGAGCAAGCAAGAUCAGCUUGGCUACUUGAUUGCCUCCACCUUGAGGAUUGAGAAGGGCUUGGCCACCCUGACUCAAAACCAGGAGAGCUUGGAGAGAAAUAGAGUAGAAGUUUUAUGCUCUUGAUGUCAAAGUUACUGAGAUCCAAACUGCAGUUGAGCAAUUUUAGGAGGAUGUGGAGGAGAAGAAGGGCAAGUCUACCACAUAUGUUUUUGCUAGAGUGCCCAGAGGACAGAGAUCUAUUGUAGUGCAUGUUCCAGACACCAGAGCUACAUCAUCUGCACCAGAUACAGCUUCAGUGCCUCCAGCUCCAGCACCCACUCCACCAGCUCCAGCUACAUCAACAGAAGCCUUCGUCCUUGGAGCCAUCUCUACACCAUCACAUGAAGACCAAGCCUGAGAGUCGCUUAGCACUAUGCAUUUUUGUGAACUUUUUGGUAACUUGUUGCCAAAGGGGGAGAAAAAUGUAUAGAUCAUACGCUUCGAGAGAGAGUGUUGCUUUGAUCUCUCUUGUCUUUUAGGCGGUUGAACUUCGUUAUUCAUGUGUUUGCUUGUUUGCUUGAUACAUUAUGCCUUGUGUGAGAUUCUUGGACGAUCAUGUGAUUGAUCAUAUGCUAUGCUACAUUAAUGUUUGUUGGAUGGUAUUAUCUCUUAUAUCCUCAUAUGAUCAUUCACUUUGCUUGGUGAUGAGUGCAUGUAUUUAAUUAUUAUCAUUUUGAGCGCUCCACCAAGAUGUAUGUGACAUGGAAGAGUGACCCAUGAUCCUAACUCAUUGUGCAUUUGCAGUCCAAAGCAAAUUUUAAAUAAUGCACAAAUUUAGGGGGAGCUCUUACUACUCACAUACUUCUCAAAGCGACGAUGUUUUUCAAUCUUAUUAUCAUUUGUCGAAGCUUUGAUCUAUAUGUUGUCAUCAAUUACCAAAAAGGGGGAGAUUGAAAGUGCAACUAUCCCUGUGUGGUUUUGGUAAUUCCUAACAACAUAUAUCUCAUUGAGCUAAUGCUAUUUCAAGAUAAAUAUUUCAGGAAAGCUCAAUGAUUGGCAUGGCAUGGAUGAGAAAAGUGGAUCCUUCAAAAUGCUAAGGACAAAAGAAUUGGCUCAAUCUCAAAGCACAAGACUCUACAUUUUCUAUUUUAGUGAUCCAAGAUCACAUUGAGUCUAUAGGAAAAGCCAAUACUAUCAAGGAGGGAUGAGGUGUUGCUUAAUGGCUUUCUUGCUCAAAAUGCUUAGUGAUAUGCUCCAAAGCCCUCAAAUACUUUCUCACAUCCACAUAUGACCCAAACCAAAAGUCCAACUCAGCCUCACCAAUUCCUUCUAUCCGGCGCCACCGAGUUCAGAUGUCAUAGCCACUGCCACAAACCCUAAUCAAAUCGGUCUCACCGAUAGGGAUCUCGGUCUCACCGAGAUGGGAUUGUAAUCUCUCUGUUUCCCUCCAUAACAUUUCGGUCCAACCGAGAUGAGCGAUUGGUCCCACCGAGAUUGCAAUGCAAACUCUCUGUUUCCCUUUCAUAAUGUUUCGGACCAACCGAGAUGAGCGAAUCUGUCUCAUCGAGUUUGCCUGGCCAACCCUCUGUGUGUCCAUUACCAAAAUCGGUCUCACCGAGAUUACGUUAUGCCCUAACCCUAACCAUAUCGGUCCCACUGAGUUGAUAUGUCGGUCCCACCGAAAAUCCUAACAGUCACAUUAUUUGCUGAAUCGGUCCGACCGAGUUUGACGAUUCGGUCCCACCAAGAUUGGUAAGUUAUGUGUAACGGUUAGAUUUUGUGUGGAGGCUAUAUAUACCCCUCCACCCACUCUUCAUUCGUGGAGAGAGCCAUCGGAACAUGCCUACACUUCCAACCUACAUUUUCUAAGAGAGAACCACCUACACUUGUGUUGAGGUCAAGAUAUUCCAUUCCUACCAUAUGAAUCUUGAUCUCUAGCCUUCCCCAAGUUGCUUUCCACUCAAAUUUUCUUUCCACCAAAUACAAAUCCUGUGAUAGAGAGUUGAGUGUUGGGGAGACUAUCAUUUGAAGCACAAGAGCAAGGAGUUCAUCAUCAACACACCAUUUGUUACUUCUUGGAGAGUGGUAUCUCCUAGAUUGGCUAGGUGUCACUUGGGAGCCUCCGACAAGAUUGUGGAGUUGAACCAAGGAGUUUGUAAGGGCAAGGAGAUCGCCUACUUCAUGAAGAUCUACCCUAGUGAGGCAAGUCCUUCGUGGGCGACGGCCAUGGUGGGAUAGACAAGGUUGCUUCUUCGUGGACCCUUCAUGAGUGGAGCCCUCUGUGGACUCGCGCAGCCGUUACCCUUCAUGGGUUGAUGUCUCCAUCAACGUGGAUGUACGAUAGCACCACCUAUCGAAACCACCACAAAAACAUCUGUGUCUCCAAUUGUGUUUGCCUUCUCAAACUCCUCCCCUUUACCUUCAUAUGCAAUUGUUUUACAUUCCGCUACUAUACUCUUAGAAUUGCAUGUGUAGGUUGAUUGCUUGAAUUGUGCUAAGUUGCUAAAAUCUGCCAAGAACUAAAAUUGGGAAAAGGCUAGAUUUUUAUUUGGUCAAGUAGUCUAAUCACCCCCCCCCCUCUAGACAUAAUUUCGAUCCUACAGCUUCCAAGAAGCUUCUCUCCAAAUUGCACUAUAGAGGAAAAGCCUGUCCAGACCAGCUUCCCGCAACUUCACCAACUUCUCAUCCCUCCUGCAAAAUCCUGUCAUCCAACUUCACAUUAUUUAUAGUCAAAAUGUCACGGCCACAUAAAGAGACAACGCUUCACAAAUUUCUCUCGACUCUCACCCUGACCUCAUUUCCACCUCCUACCUUGUCGGGGCGAUGAACCCCGGGCAGGCAACGGAACCUGGAUCCUCUUCAAAAACAAUGGGGCCUGCAUCGCCCCUCAAAACUGGCACGCGCCUGGCCGGGUCGCUCGACGCGGCAAGGCUCGCAGCCCGGCCAACCCCUCCGACCCAGCAAGGUACGUCGACCCAGCCUCAGCAAUUGGCGCAAGGCGGCCGAAGCUGGCAUGACCAAGGCUUCCCCAACAAGCCGACCCUACCUGUGGCGUCCGCUGCAAUCCAGCCACAGGUCAAGCUCCCGUCCCAUCCAGGCCGUACGAUGGGAUGAGACGACAGUCACCGAUGACCAAGACAACAGUGUUUUCACCCAUGCCUAUGGUCAGACGGAACGGGGCAACAGUGCCCCUUACCUACCCGCUGACCAAGGCUGGCGUGGCAACAUUGCUUCCACCCUCACCGCUGACGAUAGCAAGCGGCAGCCUGAUGGAAAGCGCUAUACACGACUCAACUCGUCACACCCUGACGAUCGACAAGACGGUGCACAGUUCCCCUAGGCACACGGGGCCCGCGCCUAGGGGAACCCAGCGAACCACAAGCCCUCAAGCAGGACCCAGCCCAGGAUCCCGGACACUGCCAAUACGGACCCACUGACUCAGCAUAUUACCAUUGUAACCCUAGGUGGGUUGGUCUAUAAAACCCCCCAGGAACCCGCGCCUACGGGGGCAUAGGAUAUGGAAUAGAAGGCAACAGAAGAUACACAAGGCUUUCGGAAGAGCAAGAAAGCAUAGGACUAGCCACCAAGCCGCAACACCGGAGAGAAGGAGCAGCCUAAGCCUUGGCCAGCUUCCUUCCUCCUCAUACAGCUCCAGGAGCAAUAUUGUACUAUCGAUCAUCCAACUACACUCGGCAGGACUAGGGGUAUUAUCUCUCCGGAGAGCCCCGAACCUGGGUAUGUCUGGCGUCCCGCGCCCGCUCAUGCCAACCUCGCCUCUGGAGCCCACCAGCGCCCUCGAGCCUCCUCCUCUCUUUAUCCAUCCCUUGGCAUCUUCCGUGCACCCACCACGAUAGUUGGCGCCCACCAUGGGGCAGCUCGAGGAGCUGGCCGGGAGCAUGCUUCAGACGGGGCCCGUCUCCUACACCGAUGAGUCCGUCGCAUUGGCGGACAAUGUCGUCGGUGUGCUUGUCGCCUCCUUCGCUGCGCUGCGCAUCUCCGAUGCAUUCGCGGCCGACGAGUACCCUAGCAGGUGCUCAGCUACUCCGACUCUCCGCUCUCCCUCGGCGGUGGCAUUGCCGCCGGGGCAAUGGACAUCCAUGUGGAGGUUUACGUCACCGGCGACGGCGCCUCCUCCUCGUCGAGCAAGACGAGGAAGGCCGCAGAAGCCAGGGCUGCCGCAGAACGGACCGAGCCAUCUAAUCCACUGUGUGCCGUGAUGCAGAGCCUCCGCAUCCCCAUCGGCACGGACGUUGAUGCCACCAACGUUGUUGAGGCCCGAUCUCAGCUCGAAGAAAGGCGCCAGCAGAUGCUGGACCUGUCUGAGACGCUCGCUGCCACCAAGCGUCGCCUGGAGGCCGCUUAGAUGGAGCACGACGCCGCUCACGGAUUCGCGCCCGCAGCGGCCGAGCCAAGCCGGGUCGCUGAUGUAUGCACCCGGGGAGGAGCGAUCGGCCGGGCCCUCGCCACCGUUCGGACCGUCUACGAGACCCUAGUGAAGAACAAGCAUGCUGUGGAGGCAGCCGCGGUCGGCCUCGACCAGCUCACGGGUGAGGAGCUGAAAGAGCGCAUCGGGCGGAUGCGCGAGCUCCUCCACGCCGCCAACACCCAGCAGGAUCGCCUGCACCAGCUCGCCAAGCCGGCGGGGUCCGGCUCCGCCUGCCUUGCCGGUCCCGGCGAACUUCUGCACACGGCUUCCUCGCCGCCCGGCGAGGCGCACUCCGGCCAAAACCGGACUCGUCGCAACCCGGCCGCCACAGCCGCCGACAUCCUAGGCAACGAGCCCGCAGCGGAGACUCGGCGUGGACCCGGCCAGCCUGGCCGGCGUCCGGCUCCAACCGACCCAGCCCCUCGGGGCCUGGCCGCCAGUCGACUCGGCCCACGCGCCAUCAACGACGCCGAUGCUCGCCACCGCCUCGAUCAUCUUGCUCGCUCCCUGGAGGUGGAGGAGAGUGGUGCUAUCAGGCCGGCCUGCUUCGGCCCACGCAUCCGGGAGGAGCCCUUCCCCAAAGGGUUCAUGCUUCCCCGCGACACCCCCAAGUACAACGGAACCGUGAAGCCAGAAGACUGGCUCAUCGACUACACCACGUCCAUUGGCAUCACCAGUGCCAAUCGUUGUCUCGUUGUGUGCUACGCACCGCUCAUGCUCCAGGGGUCGGCUCGCACGUGGUUGAACAGUCUGCCGAAGGGAAGCAUCGAUGCGUGGGUCCACUUCGAGGAGGCCUUUGUCCGCAACUUCACGGGGAUCUACAAGCGACCCGGUCACUCCAGCCAGCUCGCCAUGUGUGUGCAGGGGCCGACGGAGACAGGUCGCGAGUACCUCGCACGCUGGACCGAGCUCUGAAAUAGCUGCGAGGGCGUCCAUGAAGUCCAGGCGAUCUAGUACUUUGUCAGGGGGUACCGAGAUGGCACCCUCCUCAAGCACAAGCUCUUGCGCUCCGAGCCGGCCACCAUGGCCGCGCUCAUGGUGACGGCAGACAAGUACGCCAACGCCGACUCCGCCAUGAAGAUCCAGGUGGCACUGGAUGAAGCCAGCAAGGUGAAGCCGGUUCCUCCCGCCGAAGCCGACCAGCGAAAGCAGCCGGCAGUAGCAUCACCAGACCAACAAGCGCAAGGCCGAGCAGCCAGCGCAGUGUCACGACAACCGGCUCGUCGCGGCUGCCGAGCCUGCGGCGGACCCGGCAGCGAAGCGCCGGCAGACCGGCAAGAUGGCGUAGCAACACGCCAUGAGUUUCGGGGAGAUGCUCGACACCCCAUGCAAGCACCACAGCAGCACAAGACCUUCCACGCACACGCUUCGGUAGUGCGCCAUCACGAAGCGCAUCAUGAGGGGAGACGUCCCACCUCCUCUGGGUCCGGCUCCAGCUCCAGGCGCAGGACAGCCGCCUCCGCCUCCACCGCCGCCUCCCGCGGGCGGCGCGAUCUGGAACGACGCCUACCCGGACCAGAACGCGGCCUAUGUCGUCUUCACCAGCCUUGGCGAUGACAAGCGCAGCGAGCGCCUCCUUCGGCAGGAGGUGAACACCGUCGUCCCGGCCAAGCCGGAGUUCAUGCAUUGGUCAGAUCGGCCGAUCACCUGGACCCGGGAGGAUCACCCCGCGGUCAUGCUGAGUCCCGGUGGAUACUCCCUCGUCCUCAACCCCACCAUCAUCACGCGGCGCACAUGCAAGUUCUCCUGAGUCCUCAUCGACAGCGGCAGCAGCAUCAACAUCCUCUACCGCGACACGAUGACCAAGCUCGGCCUCAAAGCCGAGGACCUGGAGCCAACCCAGACGAUCUUCCAUGGCAUUGUGCCCGGCCUCUCCUGCUCUCCCAUUGGCCGGGUCUAGCUCGAUGUCUUGUUCGGCGACAGCAGCCACUUCCGGCGCGAGCCGAUUUGGUUCGAGGUAGGGGACCGGUCCAGCGUGUAUCACGCGUUGUUGGGCCUGCCCGCGAUCGCCAAGUUCAUGGCGGUUCCCCACUACGCGUACCUGAAGAUGAAGAUGCCGGGUCCCAAGGGCCUGAUCAUGAUCAACAGCGAUUAUCGCAAGUCCGUGGAGUGCGCCUGAGAUGGCGCCAAGUUGGCCGAGGAGCUGGUCAUUGCCGAGGAGCGGCGCCAGCUCGACCGGAUCAUCGCCAUGGCGGGCGAGACCUCUGCCGCAUCGAUCCCGACCACGAACCCGGCCGACGAGGCUGCCUUCAAGCCCUCCAAGGAGACCAAGAAAGUGAAGCUCAACCCAGAAGACCCCAGCUGCAGCAAGUAUGUUGUCAUAGGCGCCCGCCUCGACAACAAAUAGGAAGGCGAGCUCAUCGACUUCGUCCAUGAGAAUCGGGAUAUCUUCGCAUGGACCCCAAAGGACAUGCCGGGUAUCCCGAGGAAGUACGCCAAGCACAAACUUCACGUCCAUAAGGAUGCCAAGCCUGUCCAUCAACCCCUAUGACAAUUUUCCGAAGAGAAGAGAAGAACCAUUGGUGAAGAGGUCGCCAAGCUUUUGUCGGCCGGCUUCAUAAUGGAAGUGUUUCACCCCGAGUGGCUGGCCAAUCCAGUCCUUGUCUUGAAGAAGAACAAGACCUGGCGCAUGUGUAUCGACUACACAAGCCUCAACAAGGCCUGUCCCAAGGAUUCGUUCGCUCUCCCGCGAAUCGACCAAGUCAUCGACUCGACUGCCGGGUGCGAGCUCCUGUCCUUCCUGGAUGCUUACUCUGGCUACCACUAGAUCAAGUUGGACCCAGCCGAUGCCCUGAAGACGUCCUUCAUCACGCCCUUUGGGGCGUAUUGCUACAUCACCAUGUCGUUCGGCUUGAAGAACGUCGGCGCCACCUUCCAACACUGCAUGCAGAAAUGCCUGCUACCGCAACUCGGCCGCAAUAUCCACGUGUACGUGGAUGACAUCGUGGUGAAGACCAAGCAACACCUCAUGCUCCUCGACGAUUUGAAGGAAACAUUCGCCAACCUCCAUGAAUACAAGGUCAAGCUUAACCCGGAAAAAUGCGUCUUCGGCGUCCCGGCCGGAAAGCUACUUGGCUUCCUCGUCUCGGAACGCGGCAUUGAGGCGAACCCGGAGAAGAUCAAGGCCAUCGAGCGCAUGCGCAAGCCGGCUAGGCUGCACGACGUCCAGAAGUUCACCAGGUGCUUGGCCUCGGUCAACCGGUUUCUAAGCCGGCUGGGCGAGAGGGCGCUCCCCCUAUACCAGCUGAUGAAGAAGACGAGUCCGUUCGAGUGGAACGGCAAGGCAGACGAGGCCUUCCAAGACCUCAAGCACAUGCUCUCCACCGCGCCAGUCCUGACCGCACCGACCGACAAGGAGCCGUUGUUGCUCUACAUAGCUGCGACCUCGUGGGCGGUCAGCAUGGUGCUGGUGGUCGAGCGACUAGAAAAGGGCAAGAUCCAAGCCGUCCAGCGCCCAGUCUACUACCUGAGCGAGGUGCUCUCCAUCUCCAAGCAGAACUACCCGCACUACCAGAAGAUGUGUUACGGCGUGUACCUCACUGCCAAGAAGCUGAAGUAGUACUUCCAAGAGCAUGUCAUCACCAUUGUCAGCACGACGCCUGUCAGAGAAAUCAUCGGGUGCCGGGACGCCUCUGGCCGGGUCGCCAAGUGGGCGAUCCAGCUAUCCGGCCACACCAUCCUCUACGAGCCCCGCACCAUGAUCAAGUCUCAAGCCCUGGCCGACUUCCUCGUCGACUGGACCGAGAACCAGUACUUGCCGCCACCUUCCGACUCGAUGCAUUGGUGCAUGCACUUCAACGGGUCCAAGAUGCGACUCGGCUUAGGGGUCGGCAUCGUACUACCGUCCCCGAAGGGCGACCGGCUCCGCUACGCACUCUAGAUCCACUUCGCCGCCUCCAACAAUGUCGCCGAGUAUGAAGCCCUUGUGCACGGCCUCCGGCUUGCCAAGGAACUCGGCAUCUGGCCCAUCCUGUGCUACGGCGACUCGGACCUGGUGGUGCAGCAGUGCUCUGGCGAGUGGGACGCCCGCGACUCAAACAUGGUAAGCUAUCGCUUCCUCGUCCAGAAGCUGUCCGGAUCCUUCGAGGGCUGCGAGUUUCUCCAUGUCCCGCGCGCGAAAAACGAAGCAGCCGACACGCUCGCCAAGAUCGCCUCAUCACGACAAGCCAUCCCUUCGGCGUCUCCCUCGAGAACCUCCACAAGCCAUCCGUCAAGCCAUCGACGGACUCCGAGUCCAUUCACGUUCUAGACGAUCGGCCGCACCACAAUCUGGCCCAGGGACUGCCGAACCCGGCCCAGGGACUGCUAAACCCGGCCCGGGGGCUGUUCAGCUCAACCUGGCCACCAUCAACCCGGACCCGACCGUCGCCAACUCCAACCCGGGGGCUGCUCAACCCGGCUCGGGGGCUGCCGACUCGGAACCCACCCUGGUGGCCAUCUUCGCCGUAGUGGCAGCCCCAUCCUGGGCCCUCCCAAUAUCAGAAUUUCUGGAGAACGGGGUCCUCCCCAUGGACGAGACCGAGGCUUGGCAAGUACAGCGCCGGACGUCCGCCUACAGCAUCAUCAACAAUGAGCUCACCAAGCGCAGCCCCACCGGCGUGUUCCAGCGCUGCAUCGAACAGGAUCGGGGCAUCGACAUCCUCCUCGACAUCCACCAGGGCGAGUGCGGGCACCACACCGCAUUGCGUUCCCUGGUGGCCAAGGCAUUCCACCACAGUUUCUACUGGCCCAUGGCCCUCGAGGACGCCGAGUCGCUUGUCCUCAAGUGUGAGGGAUGUCAGCGCUUCAGCAAAUGCAGCCACCAGCCGACAUCAGCACUCCGCACCAUACCAUCGCCUGGCCCUUCGCGGUCUGGGGACUCGACAUGGUGGGACCCUUCAAAACCGCUCGAGGCGGCAUGACGCACCUGCUAGUGGCAGUGGACAAAUUCACCAAGUGGAUCGAGGCAAGAGCAAUCAAGAAACUGGACGGGCCAACAACCAUCCAGUUCAUCAAGGACAUAGCGGUACGCUACGGCAUGCUGAACAGCAUCAUCACCGACAACGGGCACCAACUUCGCCAAGGGCGCGUGUCGGUGUCAAAACCGGCGGAUCUCGGGUAGGGGGUCCCGAACUGUGCGUCUAGGCGGAUGGUAACAAGAGACAAGGGACACGAUGUUUUUACCCAGGUUCGGGCCCUCUCGAUGGAGGUAAAACCAUACUCCUUCUUGAUUAAUAUUGAUGAUAUGGGUAGUACAAGAGUAGAUCUACCACGAGAUCAGAGAGGCUAAACCCUAGAAGCUAGCCUAUGGUAUGAUUGUUGUUCGUCCUACAGACUAAAACUCUCCGGUUUAUAUAGACACCGGAGAUGGCUAGGGUUACACAGAGUCAGUUACAAUGGGAGGAGAUCUACAUAUCUUAUCGCCAAGCUUGCCUUCCACGCCAAGGAAAUCCCAUCCGGACAUGGGACGAAGUCUUCAAUCUUGUAUCUUCAUAGUCCGGGAGUCCGGCCAAAGGUCAUAGUCCGGCCAUCCGGACACCCCCUAAUCCAGGACUCCCUCAGUAGCCCCUGAACUAGGCUUCAAUGACGACGAGUCCGGCGCGCAAAUUGUCUUCGGCAUUGCAAGGUGGGUUCCCCCUCCGAAUACUUCAUAGAAGAUGUUGAACACGAGGAUAGUGUCCUGCUCUGCAAAAUAAUUUCCACAUACCACCGUAGAGAGAAUAAUAUUCGCGCAAAUCUAAUUUGCUGACGUAUUCUGUAGCGUGACAUCAUGUCACAAUCAAGCCUUUAUUCGAGUCGUUUUACUGUCCCACCUCAGUGUGUUUAGCGAGGCGGUUUCCUUGGCACGUCUUGUCAAAGCAGAGAUCGUGUCCCCUUAUUCCGGGAUUCUCAUCAAUACGGGUGUGGGUAACCCAACCGCGCCAUUAAUCAUGGCGCUUGGGAGAUAAGCGAGUUUUGCUAGGCUGGUGGGGGCACAUAGUUUCGGCCGCCCAUAUAAGGGGAUAAGGAUCCACCCUUUCCAUCUACGCCUUCCUCUUCCUUCGCUUAUCCAUUGCUGCGCAGUCGAGCUCCAGCGCCCAAGUCCGCACUUCCCACCUCAACCUUCUCCAAUCAUGUCCGGAGCAGGAGGUAGGUGGAUGGCCUCCUCCAUCACGGAGGGGCAAAUCAAAAAGCUGAGGAAAGCCGGAUACUUGUCCAACGACAUCACGCACCGGCUCCCAGAUGAGGGGCAGCUCAUCCCCACCCCCAGGCCCCAUGAGAGGGUCGUGUUUCUCCCCCAUUUCCUCCGCAGACUGGGCUUUCCUCUUCACCCAUUUGUCCGGGGGCUCAUGUUCUAAUACGGCCUGGAUUUCCACGACCUGGCCCCGAACUUCAUCCUCAACAUCUCGGCGUUUAUCGUCGUGUGCGAGGUCUUCCUCAACAUCCAGCCCCACUUAGGCUUAUGGCUGAAGACCUUCAAUGUCAAGCCGAAGGUUGUGGGCGGCCGAUAAGCGGAGUGCGGAGGCGCCAUGGUGGUCAAGAUGGCCAACAUCACAUGGCUUGAGGGCUCCUUUGUGGAAACCAUCAAAGGGUGGCAAUCGGGGUGGUUCUACAUCACUGAGCCGCGUGACCCUGAAUGGGCAGCGGCCCCCGAGUUCCGACCUGGCAUCCCCACGCGGCUCACCUCAUGGAAAGAGACAGGCCUGUCGUGGGGUAAUCCGGAAGAGGCGGCCGGACUCCAAACCUGCGUCUAGAACCUGAUGGACAAGAAGGUUAAACUCGUCAACAUAGUUCAGGUCAUGCUCUUCCGCCGGAUCCUCCGUGUCAAUGGCGGGCUUUUAAUCUAUGGGAAUUUGACCCGGCCCAGCACCAAACUCUGUCCAGGCUCUUCGACACAACGCAUGAAGAUUCUUGGAAGGUGCUUUUCAAGAGCUCCGAGGUUCACCCUCCCACUACCGAGGAUCGCGGAUUCUGCGCGAAGCGCCAAGCCAGCACGGUAAGAUUAGUUUACCCAUUACAGGGAACUUGUUUUUCAUAGUUUGACUCUAUGCGGGAUCUAAGCUCCCAUUCCUUUAACAGGACUGGCAGAAGAAGGCCGGACAGAUCAACUGUCCGGCUCCCUUGCCCGAAGGCCCAGCAGACGCACGCUUGAUGAAGCUGCUGGUCCCGGCACCCCACGUGGUGCCGGAGAAGAAGGCCAAGAAGAAGGCCACGGGAACUCGAAGGAGCUCCCGGCAACUGGUGGUGUCGGACUCAUCGCCCGACGACCCCAAAGCGCACUCCUCCUCCGAAGACGAGGAGGAGGAAGAAGAAGCCUCUCCCCCUCCAGCGGGGGGGGGGGGGAAGAAAAGGAAGGCUGCCCCAACUGGGGAGGCCGGAGGGUCCAAGAAGGGGAAGACCCUUCUCCCGGACUACGCCUCCCACGCCGAAGACGGCAGAGAGGAGUGGCCAUCCAGGGCCAAGCCCCUAGCAAAAUCGUAAGUAUCCGGAUACCAGAAUAACUCACGGUAUUCCUUUAUUGCAUAGUACCUUCUAACGCCAAAUAUAAUCAUGCAGUCCGCCCAAGGCUCAGCUCGAUGAUUCGUCGAGUGGCUCCCUGGACUCGUCGGAUAUGAAUAGUCUUUCACUCCCGACGGCUUCCUCCCCUUGCCCUACGGACGAAGCCGAGGUGGAGUCCCAAAAGGGGCUGAGCCAGGAGGAGGUGGUCCUGGAGGCGCAGCAAGGCGACCUCCCAGACUCCAGGCCCAAAGGGGAUAAAACCCCGGAGGGAUCUAAGUCCGGCCCUGGGCCGGACACCGCACCGGAACCUUUAGUGGUUCUGGAGUUCGGCAGGCGGCCCCUUUGCAAGAAGGGCAAGCAUACGACACCUGCGGCCUCCGUCCAACCAGAGGCGCCGGACAAUUUGCUGGAGGUGCUUAACAGCGCCUCCAUCGAUGAGGAGCACCGCACUGUUAUGAGUGCGGUGAUCGAGAAGGUUCAGUCCGCCAAGAGCGGGCUGACAGAAGCAUGUGCCAGCCUUCUAACAGGCUUUGAGGUAUGUAUUUAAAACAUGUAAAAAUGUUAGCGCAUAGACAGUAGCCUCUGAUGCUCAGUUUGGUGUUCGGAAAGAAAAACCAGACUGAGGAUCCAAAAAGAUAUACGCAAGAGUCUAACAUAAAAAUGUCAAUAUGGGGAUGCAGGCUGCGCUGCUGACCUCUACCGCACUGACUGCGAAGGUCGAUGCAUUGAAGCAGAGCCUCGAGCAGUCCAAGAACGAGCUCGGCCUUGCAAAGAAGCGGCUCGAGGACAUGGAAGGCAGGUAGUACCUUAUGUAAGGGUAUAUAAAAAUACAUGGUUGCAAAUAGUGACAGGACCAAUGUGAAUGUGACAGGGGCCACAACCGAGGUGGCGACCCUGAAGGAAGCGUUGUCCAAGGCCGAAGAUAAUGCGGCCAUGGAGCGCACCGAGCGAGAGAAACAAGAGGCGCGGGUGGCGGAGGUGCGGCAAGAACUCAAUGCUCUCGUGAAGAAACACGAGAGUUUAGAGCUUGACUCAAAGACGCGAGAGUCCGAGCUUGCCUCGGCACUUGAAAGUGCCAAAUCUGCCAAAGCCGAAUCCCAAAAAGCCCUCCAGGAGAUUGAGGCGAUGAAAAAGAUAGCGGCGGGUAAGGCAUUCUUUAUGCAAAGCAAGCAUGUGAAAGUGAAUUACAUGUUACUUACCCGAAUCCGGAGCUCUCCAGGAGCAUUCGCAGAUCUGCCCCGCAGUGUGUCCAACGCUGUCGCAUUCUACCGAGCCAAAGAAGGGAGCUCAACGGAGAAGGCGUUCUGGUCCCAGUAUGCUGAGGCCGGACACCCAGUGCCCUUGAGCGACCAGCUGAAGCAACUGGUCGAGCUCCAUAAGGUGGCCGAAUAGGCCAUGAAGGGCCUUAUAGGCCGGCUGUGGCCUGGGGAGGUCCUGCCUGAGAGCUACUUCGGGCUGGUGAGGCGGCUGGUGGAUGCGUGUCCGCGGCUUGAAGUCAUCAAGCGCUCUGUAUGCAUCGAAGGCACCCGUAGGGCUCUUGCCCGUCCUAAAGUGCACUCGGGCAAGCUAGAUGCUGAGAAGCUAGUGACAGAAGGGCCACCGGAGGGGAAGGAGCAUCGCAGGCCCGAGAUGUAUUAUGAGGGCAUCCUGAAGGGUGCCCGCCUUGUGGUGAAUGAAUGUACUAGGGAUGUAAUUUUUGAGUAAACUCGCUCGUGUUUAUCCUGUGCGCUGAAAACUUGUUCAUAUGCGCUAAGCAACACUUUUUGAAUUAAAAUAUUACCUUCUGUGCGGCCAUUUAUUAAAUCUAAGAGAUGCAAGUCGUCGGCUCUACCCCCAUGCCGCGAGUGCUGGGGUGUUCGGGAUAAACCUGAGCGCUCUUGUUCCCAUUCUUGGGUCCUUCGAGGGAGGUGCUCAGCACAACGGACAAGGCAAUCGGACUUAUAAUGCUUUAUCACUCGCACUUAGCCAUAGAAUUCUAUAAUUUUAAAUUUCGGCGAAGCCCCUAGUACUCAGAAGACCGAGUUCGGGGCGCUAUCCACGCCUAGGCCGGACAAAGCCAGCUCCUCGCUCUAAGCGGCAUAAGUCUUUAAGGACUCGAAAAACCUCGUGAACAGCGAUUCGGUCUCGCCCUAUCAUGACGGUCAGUUUUAGCUUUCUCUACUGAGGUGUUAACCCAGCUCAACUGGGGCACAAUCGCAGUAGUUCUCCCAGUGCUACCUUAGCCGAUAUAGCGGAACAUAAGGUACCAAAACAUGGGAGCCGGGCAAACCCAACUAUUGACCCAAGACAUGAUUCAGAGCCGAUGCAUAUAAUGCUAUAAGUUAGGGGUGCCGCACUCAUGAGAGUGUUCGGUCUUCUCACACCGUAUUCUGGAGUAAUUAAGCCCCUGGUGUAUUGGCUGUACCAAAGUGUACGGUUGCAUAAUGUCAUAACUGAACAUAUGUAAAAAAUAAAUGCAAUAAUAGACAAGAGUUGUAUAUUGUUUAUUAAAGGGCUGCUAUGAGAGCAGAACGAUACAAAUAGUGCGAUGAGCAAGAGAUGGGAUUAUUUGACAUGUCCCCCUCCCGGGGCAAGCUGCAAGACUUUAAGUAAGACAGGUAUUUAGCUCGUUAUAGAGAGCACCUGGACAUUCGACGUGGCUUGUUGUCUCCCUGGCUGUUGCAUCGUGUGUUCGGCGGUUGUACUGCCGGACAGGUCUUCCGAAUAGUGGAGUCCUGAAAGUAAAAAAAAGAAAAAUCACAAAAUCGGGAGCCCCUAGUGCGGUUGAGCCGCAUUCUGGGCAUGCCGUGGUUGUGCCCCUCCCCUUAUGCCCAUGGUAUUUCCAGAGCGUAAUUAUGUAUGCGUGGUAUUGGUUUUGCAAGUUUGUGAGGGCUGGGGUUGGGGCCGCACUGCUAUGCUAGCUCGGAACGUGCCAGACGAUCUCGUUGUAGGUUACUCAGGGCGCGCUUGACGGUGUCCGGCCGCUGAACAGCCGGACUGGAGAAUUGCCUUGAGAGGCUACUUUGUACUUCCGCCGCGAGGGCCGCCAUGUGCUCCUCUGUUCGGAGAGAGCAUUCGGUGUUUCCAUUGACCGUGAUGACUCCUUGAGGGCCUGGCAUCUUGAUCUUGAGAUAUGCGUAGUGUGGCACCGCAUUGAACUUUGCAAAUGUGGUUCGCCCGAGUAGGGCGUGAUAGCCACUGCAGAACGGGACUAUGUCGAAGAUUAACUCCUCGCUUCGGAAAUUAUCCGGGGAUCCGAAGACCACUUCGAGUGUAACUGAGCCUGUACAGCUGGCCUCUACACUUGGUAUGAUGCCUUUAAAGGUCGUCUUUGUGGGUUUAAUCCUUAAGGGAUCUAUGCCCAUUUUCCACAUUGUAUCCUGAUAAAGCAGGUUCGGGUUGCUUCCGCCAUCCAUGAGGACUCUAGUGAGGUGAAAUCCGUCAAUGAUUGGGUUUAGGACCAAUGCGGCGAAUCCGCCGUGACGAAUGCUAGUGGGGUGGUCCCUUCGAUCAAAAGUGAUCGGGCAGGAGGACCAUGGGUUGAACUUUGGGGCGAAUGGCUCCAACGCAUAUGCGUCCCUGAGCGCACGCUUCCGUUCCCUCUAGGGGAUGUGGGUUGCAUAUAUCAUGUUCACUGUCCGCACUUGUGGGGGAAAGCCCUUCUGUCCUUUGUUGUUCGGUGGCCGGGGCUCCUCCUCGUCAUCGCUAUGCAGCCCCUUGUCUCUGUUUUUGGCACUUAACUUGCCUGCCUGCUUGAACACCCAACAAUCCCUGUUGGUGUGAUUGGUCGGUUGUUCGGGGGUGCCGUGUAUCUGGCACGAGCGAUCGAGUAUCCGGUCUAAACUGGACGGGCCCGGAGUAUUUCUUUUGAAUGGCUUUUUCCGAUGACCGGGUAUAAAACCUCUGAAUCCGGCAUUAACUGUCGUAUCCUCAGUAUUGUCGCCGUUAAUGCGGCGUUUGUUCUUGUUGCGACGCGACCUGCCAUUGUUGUCCUUGGUAUCUGAAUUACCAGGGCUCUUGGUCAUGUUAUUGCUAUGAGCUAGCCAGCUGUCUUCUCCCGCGCAAAAGCGGGUCAUGAGUGUCGUAAGGGCUGCCAUGGAUUUCGGCUUUUCCUGUCCUAGGUGCCGGGCAAGCCAUUCGUCUCGGAUGUUAUGCUUGAAGGCUGCGAGGGCCUCUGCGUCCGGACAGUCGACUAUUUGAUUUUUCUUGGUUAGGAACCGUGUCCAGAAUUGUCUGGACGAUUCCUCUGGCUGCUGAAUUAUGUGGCUUAGGUCAUCGGCGUCUGGUGGUCGCACAUAGGUGCCCUAGAAAUUGUCAAGGAAUGCGGAUUCCAGGUCCUCCCAUCAACCAAUUGACUCUGCUGGCAAGCUGUUAAGCCAAUGCCGAGCCGGUCCUUUAAGCUUGAGUGGGAGGUAUUUGAUAGCGUGUAGAUCAUCACCACGGGCCAUGUGGAUAUGAAGGAGAUAAUCCUCGAUCCAUACCGCAGGAUCUGUUGUGCCAUCGUAUGAUUCGAUGUUUACGGGUUUAAAACCCUCGGGGAUUUGAUGAUCCAUUACUUCAUCUGUGAAGCAUGGUGGCUGUGCGGCGCCUCUGUACUGGGCUAUAUCACGACGUAGCUCGGAUGAGCUUUGUCUGUUGUGUUCGGCCUGGCCGUAUUUGCCAUAUCCAGCGUGACGGUUAUCGUCACGUGUCGUGGGGCGCCCACGCGAUCCGUAGAUCAAUCUUGUUUGCCUUGCCUUGUCCUCCAAUAUGUCUUGCAGGUCUGGCGCGUUUCCCCGUGCCUUGGUACUUUUUGAGCGGCGUCGGGGUGUGGCUUGAGUUGAUGGCCGAAAGGCCUCUCUGUCGCGGCCACGGGGUGGCCGAUCGGCCGCAUCAUACGCUGGUGAUGUAGGUUUAGUUGCUUCCUCCUCUAGUUGGGGUAGCAGCCUGCGCUUUGGGUAGCUCUUGGAGGGGCGUUCGAGUUUUACUCUUCGGCAGCGAGGACUUCAGUCCAUCUGUCGGCUAGCAAGUCUUGGUCAGUUCUAAGCUGUUGAUGUUUUCUCUUGACGCUGCUUGCCGUGGCCAUGAGCCUGCAUUUGAAAUGCUCUUGUUCGACGGGGUCCUCAGGCACGACAAAUUCGUCGUCGCUGAGGCUUGCUUCGUCUUUGGAGGGAGGCAUGUAAUUAUCGUCCUCGACCUCUCUGUCUGCCGCUCUCUCAUGAGGGUUGGCUUCUCCAUCCUCCUACGCUGAAUCCUGCUGGAGGGGGUUGUCUUCGGCAUUGUCCAGGUGUUAUUGUCUCCGGUACCGGACUCACCGUUUUUGCUUUGGCGGGAUUUAGAGCGGCGCUGCUGACGCCGGCGCUUAGGCUGUUUCUUGGAGGGUUCAUCCUCCGUUGUUCCAUCGCCAUCCCCUUCUUUUGGGGUGUCCACCAUGUAUAUGUCAUAUGACGAGGUGGCUUUCCAGUGCCCUAUAGGCGCUGGUUCUUGGUCGUCUCCUUCAUCGGCGACCAUUCCGUCGAUGUCUUCGGAGUUGAAGUCGAGCAUGUCGGUUAAAUCGUCGACAGUGGCUACGAAGUGGGUGGUGGGUGGGUUUCGUAUUUCUUCGUCGUCCGCAUCCCAACCUUGCUGACCAUAGUCCGGCCAGGGCUCUCCUGAUAAAGAGAGAGACUUUAGUGAAUUCAGGAUGUCACCAAAGGGCGAGUGUUGAAAGAUGUCUGCGGCGGUGAACUCCAUGAUCGGAGCCCAAUUGGGUUCGAUCGGGAGGGGUGCGGAAGAUUCAGAGUGCGGAACGGAGUCCGGCACCUUGGAGUCAUGAGCUCCGUGAAGGACAAGAUUGGUGUUCGGCUCGAUCGCUGUAGAGAUUGCAGCCCCGAGGCGGCGUCUAGCCACCUGUCCUCGAUCGGCGCAGUCGGCUCCGAGCUAAGGGUCAAAGCAGACACCUGAGCGGCGCUCUGGGCACUGUCCGGCGGCAGAGCUAGAUCAUGCCCAUCGUGACAGUGCGGCGCGCUCGGUUGUGGCUCGAAUCCGUCAAAGAUCAAGUCUCCGCGGAUGUCAGCCGUGUAGUUUAAACUUCCAAAUCUGACCUGAUGGCCAGGGGCGUAGCUUUCAAUCUGCUCUAGAUGGCCAAGUGAAUUGGGCCGCAAUGCAAAGCCGCCGAAUACGAAGAUCUGUCCAGGGAGAAAAGUCUCACCCUGGACCGCGUCGUGGUUGAUGAUCGAAGAAGCCAUCGGGCAUAAAGGUGACGACACAGAGGAACUCUCAAUGAAAGCACCAAUGUCGGUGUCAAAACCGGCGGAUCUCAGGUAGGGGGUCCCGAACUGUGCGUCUAGGCGGAUGGUAACAGGAGACAAGGGACACGGUGUUUUUACCCAGGUUCGGGCCCUCUCAGUGGAGGUAAAACCCUACUCCUGCUUGAUUAAUAUUGAUGAUAUGGGUAGUACAACAGUAGAUCUACCACGAGAUCGGAGAGGCUAAACCCUAGAAGCUAGCCUAUGGUAUGAUUGUUGUUCGUCCUACGGACUAAAACUCUCUGGUUUAUAUAGACACCGGAGAGGGCUAGGGUUACACAGAGUCGGUUACAAUGGGAGGAGAUCCACAUAUCUUAUCGCCAAGCUUGCCUUCCACGCCAAGUAAAGUCCCAUCCGGAUACGGACGAAGUCUUCAAUCUUGUAUCUUCAUAGUCCGGGAGUCCGGCCAAAGGUCAUAGUCCGGCCAUCCGGACACCCCCUAAUCCAGGAUUCCCUCGGCGCGCUCGAGAAAUACUGCUCUGUCUCCAGCAUCCGCCUCGACCUGGCCUCCGUUGCGCAUCCGCAGUCCAACGGGCAGGUCGAGCAAGCCAAUGGACUCAUCCUGUCCGGCAUCAAGCCGCGACUCAUCGAGCCACUCAUCCGCUCACCCGACAGCUGGCUCGAUGAGUUGUCGGCCGUUCUCUGGAGUCUCCGCACCACGUCGAAUCGGUCGACCGGGUUCACCCCGUUCUUCCUCGUCUAUGGAGCCAAAGCCAUCAUCCCGACCGACGUCGAGUUCGACUCGCCGUGCGUCGCAAUGUACACCGAAGCUGAAGCCAGAGAAGCCUGCGAAGAUGGCGUUGACCUGCUUGAAGAAGCACAUCUCCUGGCGCUCAGCCGCUCGGCCAUCUACCAGCAAGGUCUGAGGCACUACCACAGCAAGAAGAUCAAGCCUCUCGCGUUCCGCGAGGGCGACCUCGUCCUCCGCCUCGUCCAAGAGCAGGCAGGCCAGCACAAGUUGUCCCCUCCGUGGGAGGGCCCAUUCAUCAUGAGCAGGGCCUUGCGCGAUCGCAACGCCUACUACCUCAUCGAUGCACGCAAGUCAAAGAAGUGCACGAAGGACACCGCCGGUGAAGAAAUGACACGGCCAUGGAACGCGGGACUCCUUCGCCCGUUUUACAGUUAGCCGCACGAGUGUAUGUACCGUCGCCUUUUGGAAACGCAUGAAACUAUGGGUUCCCCGAAAGAAUCUCGGGGGCUACCUUUUGCCAACCAAUUUAUUGCGUCCUUAUUUUUUCUGCAUCACUAUACCACUGAACCUGGCCGCCGGUCCGACUCGCUCGACCUGGGGGCUCGGGGGUUGGCCGGCUUGAUAGCCACCCCGCCGCCUUACUUGGUGAUUUCUGAUAAAAGUCAGAAUGCCGCGGUCCUUCACUUCGCCCUAAAGCCACAGUUCCAGCUUUGGCUGUCGGCUGGCAAGCACGACGGGCCAAAGCUCCUGUACGUUUCAUACACUAAGUCAAAGGCUGCCAGGUCGAUCAACCCGGCCCGCCACUCACCAAAUGAACAGCUGCAUGACCGACUGCUCGCCAACCGGCUUUGCUGGAUUGCCGCCAGCCGGCCCAGUGGGUGUUUCGCUCGCACUCAACGUUUCCAAAGACCCAAGUAUUGCGCGCCCCCUUUCAAAAAUUGAACUCCUUGUCACGGAUCGGAGCCUCGGCCGUCUGACUCGGGGGGGGGGGAGGUUUAAGAAAGGAAAAAGCAUGAAAUCGGUCAGAAAAACAGACGGCAAAAAACCAAAGACACUCACAAUAUUUACACAUAGAUAUUUAAACAAAAGGCCCACGGCCGAAGUUCAUUACACCCUAAAAAACCCUAGUGGGUGGGUGGAACUGCUACUUAACAGAUUCUGCAUAAAGUGUCUCAGGCAUCUCCAGCGCCGCGUCGCGACGUCGACGGCUCUCCCCUGGCGGCCUCCGGGUCCGGCGAGACACCGGUGUCCUCCUCGGCAUCCGUGUCGCUGAAGACGCCGUUCUCCUCCGAGCUCCCCUCCGGAUCAUGGAGAAGCAAGCCAUAGUCAUUGCCAUCCACGGCCUUGUCGUCUUCCGUCCGCUCUGGAUGGAACUCGUCGUGGAAGGCGAACUCGGCGAUGUAACUCGCCCGGGAGGCAAUCCGGCUGGCCUGCUCCUGCAGAAACUACUCCGAGCCGGCCCGCUGGCCCAUUAGCGCGUCCAGCUGAAGAUCCGGAUGCCAAGACAGCGCAAACCGGAGCGCCAUCUUGGCACCGGCACGAGCGGCGGAGACGCGCCACUCGCCAAGACGGUCCGGACCCGUUUCCAGCCAGCACGCCAGGCGCGUGAAGCUGCUCAGCACGACGGCGCCCGGCCAAAGGGUCGUCGUCAUCACGGUGCCGGCCUGGGACAACCGCUCCAUCUGCGUCCCCAGGACCCGCAGGCGGGCCUCAGCAGCAGCGAUGAUCUCCGGGAAGGUCCAGGCCAUCCGCGGAUGCGUCCCAGACCCAACAACACCGGUCGAGUCGCGCUGAUAGUGGAUGGCUUCCUCCGCCAGCCACUGCGUCUCCGGGAAGGCCCCUGCCGCAAAGGAAGAAGCAAGUUAGAAGAACGACAAGGAAGAAAAGUCGGGUCCCGACUCGGCAAGCUACAAGAAGCAGCACUUACUGGAAAAGGACUCUUCCAGGUGAUGUGCCUCAAGCAACGUACCACGCCACUCCCGCUCCAUGGCGCGGUCGCGCUCCGCGAGCACCUUCUUCAGAGUAGCCGCCUUGGUAAGGGCCUCCUUCAGCUCGGUGUCCUUGUCUUCGGCUGCCUUCUCGGCUGCCUCACGGCGGCGGGCUUCGUCCUCGCGAGCCCUCUCGGCCGUGGUGACCUACCCCCGCAGGCGUUCCACCUCGGCCUGGAGCUGGCCCUUGUCAUCUGCCAGCUGGCCGCGCUGCUGGUCCGCCUCCACCAGGGCCCGCUGUGCCUCCACGACCUUGGCGGCUUCCGCCUUGAGAAGCUCCACCUUAGCCUCGAGGCGGCUCUUGUGACCUGCCAGCUGCUCAUCCAGCUGGUUGGCCUCGUCAAGAGACCGCUGUGCCGCGGCCGCCUCCACCCUCGCCUACGCCGCCUCGACGCCAAGUCGGCCGGUGUCGGCAAUAAGCCGGUCGUAAUGAUGACCGGCCCGGAGCAGCUGGGUCUGCCAGGACAGCACCUCAGCUGUGAAAAAGAAGGAAUCGGCAGAAGAAAAGAACAAGACAUAAGAUUUGGCCCAAUUGUUACACAAUUGGCCUGAAUCUCGGGGGCUACACCCAGUGGGUGCGCUAGCGCGCCCCCACUAAAAAAUAGCACAAGAGUACCUGCGGCGACACGGAGCUCCUCCUCCUUGGCGACAAGCUGCUCCACGAGCUCCCGGUGCUUGCCCAGGAGACGGUUGUAGGCGGCAACCCGGAAGGCGUCAAGAUGCUGAAGAAAUCAGAAGUCAAAAACAAGGCCAACGCUCUAGAAGAUUCGACCCAACUACUACGUAGUUGGCCCGGAUCUCGGGGGCUACACCCAUUAGGUGCGCUGGCGCGCCCCCACAAAGAAGAAAUUUCAAGGAAGCAAAAAGACUCACUAGCACGACGCGCUCCAGGUCGCGCGUCCGCUCCACCUCGGCAUGGGCGAAGGCCUCAAGCCGCUCCGUCCGACCCCACAGGCGGCGGCUGAUGGCGUCCAGCGCCGCGUCCUACUGGGUCUGGGGCCCGAAGAUAGUGGUGCCCCCGCUCCGUGCCGGCUGCGGCACGGCGGCUCGGCGCCCCCCCCCCCCCUGCCGGGGCACCAAGGCAUGCCCCGCUGGCCUCUUGUGAUGCGGCCAGCACCUCCUCCGACGCCCCUCCUGGCACCGAAGAUGACCCGGACGCCGGGACCCCCUGCGUCACCACCACCGGCCCAGCUGCCGGGGUGGCCUCCGGCACCGCCGCCUGUGGUACCUCCUCUGUAUCUAGCGGCACCACCGGUGCCGCCGCCUGCAGCGUCUGUUCCAAGACGACGCCGCUCCCACCACCAUCAACCCCCGCGCGCUCGACCACGUCGGCCUGCGGCGGGGUAUCGCUCCCCACCUCCACGACCUCCUGGUCGAGGAUCACCACCUCGGCCCGGCCUCCACGGCCGCGCUCCCUCACCGACGACGGCUCAAAGACCGUCGCAACCACCAUUGUACCCUACGGCAUCUUGCGCCAAGCCGGCUCCACGCCGGAUCGCGCCCAUGCCGCCGCCACGUUGGUCCAAGCCUGGACCGACGCCGCCUCCAGCUACGCCUUGGCCUGGUUCCUGUCCCACCAGGCCAAGGCCUCGGCGUCAUUGGGGUCCAGGCCGAGGUCUGAGUCGGCCCGCCCCUCCACCUCGCCCCGUUCGGCGAGAUCGGCCCGUCUCCUGCGGAACGCGGCCCCUUCGGCGGCCGCGGCCUCCGCCGCCGCCCUCGCCAGCGCGAUUGGCGUCCUGAAGAAGAAGGCAGAAUGAGCAAAAAGAAGCAAGACUAGCUCGAAAAACCCAGGCACAAGCAAGAAAUAAAGCUUACCCCGUCAAGACUGGGACCGGGGCCGGCCUCCCGUGCCCGCUGCCGCGCUUCUUCUUGGUCGGCCUCCCGGCCACCACCGCGUCCGUCGUGCGCUUCGAGGCCCGGGGUCCCGGCGCGAUGCUGUCUUUUCCAUGCGGGCGGCUCGGCGCCGCCCCAUGCGAGGACCCGGCUCUGCCUCGCGUCGCCGCCUCCCUCGCCCAACGCCACUACACCAACAACCGGCAUCAGCAUCGCCUGCAACGCGACAUGAUCAACAAUUCAAAUGAAGAAAGAAAGAUGCAAGAUUUACCCGCGCGACGCCCAGCGCCGGUGUUGGAUUCGGCCACCUCCUCCUCGCCAGGAGCCGCGGGGUCCUUUGGCGCCACCGGCGCCACCUACGACGGAGCCCAGGCGUAAGGAUGCCGAAUCGCGUUCAUAAGAAUCUCCCGCGUCGCGUCAGGAUGGAUGAGAAGAUGUGCGGCAGCAAAGUAAGAAGACCAGACACUAACCUACGGCGCCGGGUUCGACUGGCUGUACGGUGCCUUGCCGAACUGCCAGUCCUCUCCAAGGUUGGCCUUCGAGAUGUCGUUCACACCGCGCGCGUCCUGCUCUGCGGAUAGCCGCAUCGACCCCAUGCGGUUAGGAUCCUGCAGGCCGAUCAUUUCGCCGAUGAGGCAGGAGCGCCUCUGAAGCGGAAGGACCCGGGAAGUGAUGAACGCGGCAAGGAGGUCGGUGCCGAUGAGCCCCUCCUGCGUCCUCAUCACCGUCACCCGCUCGCAGAGAUUGACGAUCUCCUGCGACGGGCGCCGGAGCGAGUAGCCCCAGUUCGUCUUCGCCCGCGGCGGCACGAUGGCGAAGGGCGGAAGGUUGAUGUGGUCCGUGCCAUGGUUGCGGACGUAGAAGAAAGAGUUAUGCCACUUCUUGGCAGAAUCCUCUAGCGGGAUCUUGGGGAAAUCCGCCCCCGGUCGCUUUGAGAUGACGGCGGUGCCGCAGUCGGCGAACUCCCCGGCCGACGGACCCUGCUUCUUCAAGGAGAAGAAGCGUGCCCAGAGGUCGAUCGUGGGCUUGAUCCCAGGUAUCCCUCACAGAGCAUGAUGAAGCCGGAAAGCUGGACGAUGGCGCCGGCGCCAAGAUGGUGUGGCUAGAGCCUGAAGAACUCCAAGAACGCGCGGAAGAAGGCGCUCGUCAGCAGCCCGAAUCCGCGCUCGAAGUGCGUGAGGAAGACCACGCACUCCUGCCCCUCAGGCCGAGGCCUCUGCUCGCCGCGCGGUAGGCGAAUGCCAACGUCCGUCUCCCAUGGCAGGUGCCGCGACGCCCAGAGCCGGGUGAUGUCGUCGGCGGUGAUGUUCGAGCCCAUCCAGGAGCCCGACGGUAGCAACAUGAUGUGAAGAAGAGGCAGACGAAGAUGGAUGGCGGAGGAAGCUCUGCUUGGAGCAGCGGGCGCCGCGGUGCGUCGGUUGCAAAGGGCAGGGCGAAAGCAAAGGGACAGGAGGGCGCGAGCGAGAAUAAUGUCCGCCGCCCCCCUGUNNNNNNNNNNNNNNNNNNNNNNNNNNNNNNNNNNNNNNNNNNNNNNNNNNNNNNNNNNNNNNNNNNNNNNNNNNNNNNNNNNNNNNNNNNNNNNNNNNNNNNNNNNNNNNNNNNNNNNNNNNNNNNNNNNNNNNNNNNNNNNNNNNNNNNNNNNNNNNNNNNNNNNNNNNNNNNNNNNNNNNNNNNNNNNNNNNNNNNNNNNNNNNNNNNNNNNNNNNNNNNNNNNNNNNNNNNNNNNNNNNNNNNNNNNNNNNNNNCCCCGGUUCAAACGUGGGGGAGUGGGAUCGUCUGCACGCGCCCGUUCCACUACCCUGCAAUAAGUGCGCAUGUACACGUGCAGUAACUAAUCGGGGAACUACAGCCGGCCCCCAGACACCGCAAUAAAUCCGCGCGCAUGGGCCAAGGGCGCCCGGCGGCGGGCCCCGGCCCGUCACCCAGUCCCGUCACGCGCGUGGUCUGUCAGGCCCCUCCGGCUUCGACCGCCACGUGGCGCCCGUGCAAAGCCCGAGGGGUUGCCCCAAGACUCGAUGGACUCCUCGGUUCCCGCCACGGCCAGGAUGCCGCGAUCCGGUUUUCGAGAAAACCGGCACACAGUGGGUGUUGCCAGACCCGGCGCUUGCAGAAUCCGCCUUGCUCAAGGGGGAAACUGUGAAGGCCCAGUCAUCUGAGGACGGCGGACCUUCACAGCUUCGGGUUCUAUUGUCGGGGGGGAUGAACCCCGGGCAGGCAACGGAACCAGGAUCCUCUUCAAAAACAAUGGGGCCCGCAUCGCCCCUCAAAACCGGCACGCGCCUGGCCGGGUCGCUCGACCCGGCAAGGCCCGCAGCCCGGCCAACCCUUCCGACCCGGGAAGGUACGUCGACCCGGACUCAGCAACUGGCGCAAGGCGUCCGAACCCGGCACGACCAAGGCUUCCCCAACAAGCCGACCCUACCCGUGGCGUGCGCUGCAAUCCAGCCACGGGUCAAGCUCCCGUCCCAUCCAGGUCGUACGAUGGGACGAGACGACAGUCACCGAUGACCAAGACAACAGUGUUUGCACCCAUGCCUAUGGUCAGACGGAGCGUGGCAACAGUGCCCCUUACCUACCCGCUGACCAGGGCUGGCGUGGCAACAGUGCUUCCGCCCUCACCGCUAACGACACCAAGCGGCAGCCUGACGGGAAGCACUGUACACGACUCGACUCGGCCAUGCCCUGACGAUCUACAAGACGGCGCACAGUUCCCCUAGGCAUGCGGGGCCCGCACCUAGGGGAACCCGGCGAACCACAAGCCCUCAAGCGGGACCCAGCCCGGGAUCCCGGACACCGACAAUACGGACCCACCGACUCGGCAUAUUACCAUUGUAACCCUGGGUGGGUUGGUCUAUAAAACUCCCCAGGAACCCGCGCUUAUAGGGGCAUAGGAUAUGGAAUAGAAGGCAACAGAAGAUACACAAGGCUUCCGGAAGAGCAAGCAAGCAUAGGACUAGCCACCAAGCCGCAACACCGGAGAGAAGGAGCAUCCUAAGCCUUGGCCAACUUCCUUCCUCCUCAUACAGCUCCAGGAGCAACAUCGUACUAUCGAUCAUCCAACUACACUCGGCAGGACUAGGGGUAUUAUCUCUCCGGAGAGCCCCGAACCUGGGUAUGUCCGGCGUCCCGCGCCCGCUCAUGCCAACCUCGCCUCUGGAGCCCACCAGCACCCUCGAGCCUCCUCCUCUCUUUAUCCAUCCCUUGGCAUCUGCCGUGCGCCCACCACGACAUACCUGAUAGGAGAAGAGAGAAUAGGGCACUAGGGUUUUUGGUCACCCCGUUGCCGCCAUCUCUACCACCUCCGCCGACCGGAGCUCACCUCUCUUUCUCCCCGACUUGUCCCUGCUCCGGGAGCUCGCUCCUUGGCCUCCUCCUCGCCCCUCCGACGAGUGACACCGCCGGCUUGGACCACACCACUACCGCUCUUCCCCGCAACAACCGACCACGCAACUGUUGACCAGGAAGUUCGUCACUAAAUUUUAGAACCUUUUAAAAUUGUGAGCACAUGUUUCUUUUUCAUGAGCAUUUAAAAACCAGUGCAUUUUUUAUUUUACAGUUUUUACUAUCUUUCUAUUUUAGCCAGUCUUUUCAGGAGAAACCAAGAAAGAAAACCAGAGGAAAACCAAUAGUCUCGAUCUAUGAACUGGGCCAGCCUAGUCGUUGGCUCCUAUCCUGUUGCUCGACAACUCGUCACAGCGAGUGUCAAGCAGGAGCUCCGCAAUACAGGUUUAUUUAGUGUUUGCUAUGACUAUCACUCAUCAUAGCAACUAAAACCAUAGAUGUAUUUUACAGAACUCAUGGGUAUAUAUAUUAUGAAAUAAAUGAAAUUUAUUUCGAAUUAAAGAAUAUUUUUUUCAAAAUCCACAAGCAUUUUUUAAUUUAUGAACAUUUUUAAAGAAAUCACUGAUAACAUUUGCAAAAAUUCAUGAAUAUUUCCAAAUUUAAUAAUAAGGUGAAUAUUUUUAAAAUUUCAAGUAUAUUUUCAGGAUUUCUAAAAUUGCAAAAAAAACUCAAAUUUGCAAACAGUUUUUUCGUAUCACGGACAUUUUUAAAAUUUUAAAAAGAUGAGUUUUUUUUUGUAAAAUCACAUCUUUUUUCCAAUAUCUAACUGAUAAACAAUUUUUAAAAAAUCAGUGUAAUAAAUAAGCCGAAAUAUAGGCUGGCCCAGGAUCUACCGGCCGUGAAUUUCCUUUAGUAUCCUGCAGACUAGGCGUGUAAUAGGUCGAUCCUUGGUGCGUGCGUGAUUCAGCUAUCUCUACUCCUAAUGGAGCAGUUGGUAGUCUCGCUUCCAGGUUUUUUUUCGUCCCACCUCACCCGGUUUUUUUUGGUACUUCUUUGGUACUUCCUCCCACCUCCCACCUGUUUCAUUUCGCUGGUUUUUUCGUCCCUCCCCUACCCCACCGGUUUAGUUUUGCGUCAUCCUCUCACACAACGAAAAAAAUCUUAACGGAUCAUAACUUUCCAUGCGCCACCCUCCCAUCAAUGCAAUCUGAUUUAGGAAACAUAUAAUAAAUUUUAAGGAAACAAAUAACAGACUUUAAAGAAAAAUCCAAUUUUAAGGAAACAAAUCAAUCGAUCCAUCCAAAUCAAACGAUCCAUCUCAUCAAUGCAAUUUGCUUUAGGAAACAUAUAAUGGAUGUGAAGGAAACAAAUAAUAGACUAUCUAAAUCAAUCGAUCCAUCCCAUCAAUGCAAUUUGAUUUAGGAAACAUAUAAUAAAUUUUAAGGAAACAAAUAACAGACUUAAAAAAAUCCAAUUUUAAGGAAACAAAUCAAUCGAUCCAUCCAAAUCAAACGAUCCAUCUCAUCAAUGCAAUUUGCUUUAGGAAACAUAUAAUGGAUGUGAAGGAAACAAAUAAUAGACUAUCCAAAUCAAUCGAUCCAUCCCAUCAAUGCAAUUUGAUUUAGGAAACAUAUAAUAAAUUUUAAGAAAACAAAUAACAGACUUUAAAGAAAAAUCCAAUUAACUAAUCUCUACUCUUAAAGGCCCCUCGAUUGAUUUUUGUCCCUCGCUUCCUUUCCCAGCACUUAUACAAUGGAAGGAAUUAUAAUCCACCUAUUUGUUCUCCUAUAUAUCCGUGCAGGCAACACAACAUAAACCGGUGAAAAAAACACUCACCUCGCACGUCCCCCUGCCUGCAAUCCCGAAACGCCGCCAUCGCUCCAGGCUCCAGCCUCCGCCGUCCUACAUCUUGCCCCUCUCCAACCUCAGAGACCUCCGCCACCGCCGCCAUCUCGGAACCCCAGUUUAGGGCAGGACUCAGAGAGGGUGUGGCUGUGGACGACGCUGCCGCCGUCGCAGAACCCUAGGGCAGGGCGUGGUCGCGUUGCGGGCAGCGAGAGCGGCCGUGCGUCUCCCCCGUCAGGCCGUCCUCGGCAGGAACUCGGGACCUCCUCCUGACAGAGGUAAGGCCCUCCGAGGUCCAAGUCGCUGUGCGGCGUGCACAGUAAUCUCCCCGGCCUACUCUGUCUUCACGUCAAUGCUCAUGUGCUCCGACCCUCCCCGACCCCUCCCAGCAAGCAGCAGAGUCUCUCGGGUUCGAGCUCCACCGGGCCGCCGGCGGCGGCGUCCAUGUUCGUUGGGCGGAGCACAAUGCUAGGUUUGAAAUUCACCAUGAUGCUACUGAUGAGGCUCUCCUUCUCCUUUGUUUCGUCUGGGUUUUUUCGUUCCCCCUCCCACCACCCCAUCUCGUCUGGGUUUGAAAUCAAUAAGAGCAGCACAAAGUCUAGGUCCCUGUCUCGGUGGCAGGCGGAAGGAGAAGAAGGAUUGAUAUGUAUGAGAAUAUUAAUAUUGAACUCUUAAAGUUAAUGUGGCCCCGUUGCAACGCACGGGCGUUCUUCUAGUUAUGUUAGUCGACCAGGUUGUUGAAUAAGUAUGCCACAUGUGAACAUAUAUGAAACAUGCUUACAAUGUUGAAAAUAUCGCGGUCAUUUUAACCUGCGGAAGCAAUGUAUUUGGUUUAUAUUUUCAUAUGUGUUCAUCCAAAUAACUUCCAGCUGUCCCUUUGCCUCCUCUGCCAGCCCAGUAACCAGCAUUUGUGCACAUGACAUGCUGGCACAACUAGCCUCGAAUUAUUGCAUUGCGCUGAUAUGUACGGAUAAUGAGCUAAAUGAAUUCUUGCCCGUUGUCGAGUGUGUUCUACUAUCACUACUUCUUUUUGAGUCGACAUUAUCACUACUUGAUUUUUUCUUUUGAGGGGGCGCUAUCACUACUUGUCAGAUAAUUGAUCCAAUAUUUUUAGGCCCGUCAGUAAGUAGACAUUAGACCAAAACCCAACUCAACCAUCCCAAGGCCAGGCCCUAGGUUCAAAAAAGAGGGCCAGGCCCAGGCAGGUUAAUUUGACCAGUUUUUUAUUUCUGAGUCUUUUUUUUUUAGCAUCAGUACAGACACAAGCACUCAUAUACACGCGCAUACACUCACCCUUAUGAACGCACACACGCAUACCCUACCCCUAUGAGCACCUCCGAAAGACUGAGCCGACAUAUCAUCUUGAAAUUUACGAAGUCACCGUAGGCACCUCGUCGUUCACGGGAACGUCUCCUUCCACUGAAAGCGCAUCGCCGAAAAUCCUGAAAUAAAUUCAGGAAUAAUGCGAGCACCAGGAUUUGAACCCUGGUGGGUUGAGGAUACCAUUGUCCACCUAACCAUCUCAACCACAGGUUGAGAGUUCGCAAUAACCUACUAGUUCGUAUCCGUAGGCUAGGGUAAAACAGAAGAUUACCAAUCGAUCGAUCUACCAGGAUCGAGAUCGAUCCAUGUCUUCCUCCACGGUACGCAAGCGCCCACCUGCCAUUACCGCCGCCACCGCCAGCUCCGGGGACAUCUCGCCAUGGACGACCCUGCACGGGGAUCUGGUCCGCCUCGUCGGAUGGCGGGUGCUCGCCGGGGACCUACUCGACUACGUCCGCUUCCGUGCCGUCUGCCCGUACUGGCGGUCCAGCACCGUCUGCCCGCGCGGCCACGGAAUCGUUGAUUCGCGGUUUCACACGCGCCGCUGGAUGAUGUUGCCCGAGGGGCACGGGCUCCAUCCCCGUGAAGACGGCAAGAAACGUUUCUUCAACCUGUCCACUGGAGUCUUCGUCCGCCCUCGACUUCCUGUUCUUAGAGACCACUUCGUCCUCUGCCCAGCAGAUGGCAUGCUCCUCGUCCUGCGGCCGCGGACAUACACCCAGGGCGACCAUCCAUGCCUCCUCCAUCCCUUCACGGGCGACGUUGUGGAGCUCCCGGCAGACAUAACUCUCCCAGAAAACUUGGAAAGACGCUUGUUACCAAUCAACGUGUUCGCCGCUGUGAGUACAAGUCCAGAUGGAGUCCUUGGGGUCAUGGUCACGUUUCAGAAUACACCAUUCAUACUCUUUGCUAGCACAAAUGACAAGCGGUGGAGUUUAUGUGCCUUUCCGGGCUUCCGCCCACACCCACAUGCAAGCCCAUUAUCAUUCAAAGGACAACUUUACAUGUUGCAGGAGCAGAUAUCUAGCUCGGAAGUAAAUAUUCUCCGGUUCGACCCACCUUGGCAAGAUCACUCAACGACAUUGGGUUUAGCUUCGUCUUCCUUGUUGUCACCCAAGUUGGUUGCCACAUGUCCCGCGGAUAAGUUCCACUUGCCCGAGCUGGUAGAAUGCGACUCCGAGAUCCUGGUGGUUGGCAAUAAAGAAACUACACAUAUUCUUAUUUACAGAUUAGCGGAUCUUGCCCAAGGAAAGUUUGUCCCAGUAAAAAGCAUCGGAGGAAAUGCUCUUUUGAUUGAUAGUAAAAGGAACCCGAGUUUUAGUUUGUCGGCGGUGCCUACCACCACGGGUGAUACCAUUGUGCUUGCAGAUCGCACCCCUGACAAAUAUAUUUUUCAAUACCACCUCAGCAGCGAUACCUGGUCAUCAAGAGUUGGGGGAUGUGCAGAACAUGGUUGUAGCAUGGAGUGUUGUACUUGUAGCCUCAUUGACCAUAUGUGCAAUACCUGUCGAUGUGUUUCUAAGUGGUGAGCUACUUGUUGCACCCGCUCAAACUUACUUAGUUCAGACAACUUAGUUGGCAUGAUAAUGAUUCCCCUCCUAUAUAUACAUGCAGGGACACACGUGGUGGAAUAAUCAGUCCAGCCAGGUGGAAUAAUAAUCAGUUCAUUGCGAACCAUAAUGCAGGUCAUAUCUAGCGGUUAGCAUGGGUGGCGAUAUGCAUGGAGCAAGUUCAAUUUGAACUGUAAUACCUUCGUUAACCGACUGUUAUGCUGUGGCAGAUAUUCUCUUAUCUUCUGCUAGUAAAUUGCUCGAGUUAUACCUAUUUGGCAGUACAUACUUCAGUUCUAGCUAGUAGUACAAAAUUGUUAAUCGUAAUUCAUCUCAUCUCAUAAUAUUCUGUACCUGAAAUUUAUUGGUUUGUUCAUUCAUCUCCUCCUGCUUCAGUUCCUUGUACUCCAUCCUUCUUUCCCCUAUCUUUACAUGCAGUUCUGAAGUCUGAUUAUUUGGUUCUCAACAUUUCAGCACUAGCAGAAUCAGAGAAGCCAUUCCUUCUAACCACCCCAUGAACGAACAAAAAAUAGUCUUUUUGGACCAUCUAUUAUUUCAGAGCAUUUAGGAAUGUUUUUUCAUCAUGAAAAUUUGUACAUCUGUAGACUAUUUGUUAAUGUUUGUUGCAAAAAAAUCAGAUUUUUGAAUUUUUACAGUUGUUCUGAUUUUAUGGUUCACGAGGGAGCAUUUAAGCUGACGAGCAGAACUAGAUGCCCUAUUUCACAUUUAUUUUUCUAGUAUCUUGUUUUAUUAAGCUGCAGAUGGUUCAUGUCGUUCAUACAUAUAUGGAGGUUCACCAUGCCUCGGUUUGGUCUGCACAGGAUUCUUAGUGGCCUGCUGCCGGUCCACCUGUGGCCGAUCCUUUCUUAAUUUGUUGCAUUAUUAUUAAUCAGUUACUGCUUGCACAGAUAGAUACAAUACAACUAGUAGUAUGAAAAUGAUUUGCAUAACUAGGAGAAGGGUAACUGAAGGGUUUUUUUUUUCGGGUGGAGGGUAACUGAAGUCGAAUUGCCACUUUGCGACGCGUGGUCUGCGAGCCCAGUGAUAGUUGCGGCAGCACUUGAUAAUCCCUAGAUAGACACGGCACGGCCGCAGUACUCUUCUUUCCUUUGAGAAAUUUGCAGUCCCUAGAGCUUAACAAAUUUUCACUUGGCCUUGACAGCUCGCUGUGUAUUGAUGGUUCGAAUUAUAGAUGGACGCGUAGCAAACUCCAUCGAUCACCGGAUAGUAGAUGCAUAGCAUAUACUCGUAUUGUGAAUGCAUGUCAUUUUCAUGCAGACAGAUCGACAACCAACUUAUUAGAGUGUACUGUACCAUGCAUGCUUCAUGCUUCAGCUAGCAUGCAUAUACAUAGCUGCAUAUCUCUCUCUUCCAGUUCCAGCAUCCAAUCGGCCACCCCAGAGAAGGAAAAGACGCAUGCAAAUUAAGCUCUUGCAAGCAAGUACAGAUCACUGAACAGAAUUCAGACACAUCGCUCAGGUUAAUUAUGUGCUUGCUGCUAGUUCUAGAAUAUAGUACACUAGAAGUGUUGGGCGUGCUUUUGCUGCACCGUUGGUGUUGUUGUGUUUCUUAAAAACAUUACUCACUCUGUUUCAAAUAUAAGGUAUAUUAUUUUUUUCCGCAAAAAAAAGGUAUAUUAUUUUUUUAAAGUCAAAUAUUUUUAAGUUUGAUCAAAUUUGUAGAGAAAUAUAUCAAAAUUGAUAAUACCAAAUCGGUAUAUUUAGAUUCAUCAUGAAAUGAAUUUCCAUUUUUUGUUUAAUAUUAUGGAUGUUGACAUUUUUGGCUUUGAACUUGGUCAAAGCUAAAGGAAUUUGACUUUCAAAAAAACUAAUACCCCUCUUAUUUUGGAACUGGUGGAAUAUUUAGUUUGGCGAGGACGGGAAAUGAUGUGUGUGUUUCAUUUUUUUAUAACUCGAUGAUUUGGUGGGCCUUUCUCGAUGUGAUUUUGUGUUAUUCGCUAAGAAACCCAUAUUUAUGUGGGGAAGUUUCUGUGUCGGUAGCUGCAUGUACUAUAUUGGUGCUAUAGUAUCACAUGAUGGUGUUUUUUUAGGUGGUGGAAGGUGAGCGGGAUUGAUAUGUUUUUAUAGCUGGUUGCUGAUGAUUGAUUUAAAAAAUGCUUGGCUCGAUCAAAAGCGUAAACCAAAUCCAUAAUUGAAUACCUCAAUCAAAUUGAAGACCUUCAAAAUUAGGGUACAAUAGUAAAUUAAAAUAAUUGAAUAGGAGAGCUCCUCAAGAAAUUAUUGACCCAGUCAAAAUUAAGUGACUCAAUUUUAAAUGAAGACCUCAAUUAAUUAUGAGGCCUUAAAAAAGUUAGAAAGCACAAUGUAUGUAUAGUAUAAAAGAAUUGAAUGAGAGAGCUUUGAGAAAUUGUUGACCCGAUCAAAAACGGGUGAUCCAAUUUUAAUUGAAGGCCUCAAUUGAUUCUAUUCCAAGCCCUUUAAAAUUAGUGAGCUUAGUGUUAUAGAGGAUGCACAAUUUUUUUGGUGUUCACGCUUUUUCACUUUUUUGGGGCAUCCUUUUUCUUGUUUUUUAUUCUAUCCAUUUUGGAUUUUACUAGUUUUUAAAUUUUAUUUUGACAAGUCAAUACUUUUAAAUAGGAAAAUAUUUCUUUAAAAUGCAUGAGCUUUUCUAAAGCCCUUGAACAUUUUUUAAGUCUUCAACAUUUUUAGUAUCCAUUAAUAUUUUGUGUUUAUUAUCAUUUUUUAAUAUAUUUUUACUUCAGGAAUGCUUUUAUAGAUUUUUAUCAACAUUAUUUAAAUGCACAAUUUUUUUUAAAAAGGACCAUGAUAUUUGACACGUGUGUGCUAGAUAGCAAAAUUUACCACAUACCUCUUUCUUUCUCCCUAAUUACAUGCAUGAUUGUGUGCAUUCCUUUCUUUAAUUAUAUGCAUGUAUUAGAGGAGAAAAAGAUGAUGUCAUCCUAGAUUCUCCUUAUUCUAAAAAUUCAAAAUAUUUUGUAGCUCAAACUGUCUGUCCGACGCAAAGACCAUUUCCACACAAGAGAUUCAUCGUAACGAAAUCUUCGAAAGUAGAUCUCAUAUUGAUAUGUUUCGAUGACUUUUUUUAGGUCAAAAGUUACAUUCCUGAGUUACAUAAAUUACCAUGUGUGUGGUAUGCAAGUUAUCAUAAAUUAUCGGAGGCAUCAAAAUGGUUCUCUCACUCUUCUCUACAUACACAUGUAUAUAUGCGUUAGAGGAAAAAAUGUAUAUCAUCCUAGAUUCUCUCUAUUCCAAAACUUUAGAAUGUUUUGUAUCUCAAAUUGUUGGUCCGAUGCAAAAUCUCUUUUCACAUAAAAAAUUCCUCACGGCGAGUUCUUCGAAACUAUAUCUCAUGUUGAUAUGUUCUUGUGACUUUUACUUUCGGUCAAAAGUUAUCAUAGAUGGGCUACAUAUGUUACCAUGUCUGUGGUAUACAAGUUAUCGUGGUAUUUUCACACAAGUUGCCCGGUGUAUGUUUUUCAACAACUUUGUACACUCUUUGGUCAAAGUUCCCUCGGUGUUUGUAUAAAAUUUAUCAGUUAUGCGGUUUGCAUUUUUUUUUUACAUAACUUACCGGGGCAUAUUGUUCAACAAAAAAUUUGCCUCCUUGGUCAAAGUUACCGUAGUGUUUGUACAUAAGUUAUCGAGUAUGCGGUUCGUAUAUUACUGUGUUAUUUUCACAUAAGUUAUUGGGGGUAUAUUUUUGAACAAUUUUUUCCCUCCUUGGUCAAAGUUAUCGCCUGUAUGUAAGUUAUUGGGUAUGUGAUUUGUAUGUUACCGUGAUAUAUUCACAUAUUACCGCUGGUAAGUUUUUCAACAACUUUUUUUCUUGUAAAAGUUAACAUGGUGUUUGUAUGUAAGUUAGCGGUUGUGCGGUACUUAUAUUACCAUGUUAUUUGCAUAGAUAUUACCAGGGUAUGCUUGAAAAACUUUUUUCCCUUGGUUAAUAUUACCGCGGUACUUAUACAUAAGUUAUGAUAUUUUCACAUAUUUUUCAUGGGUUUUUUCUACAACUAUUUUUUGGGGGGGACAAAGUUCUUAGGUACAAAGACUCAAGAUCAUAAAAUUGGCAAUAAAAUAGUUGUUUGUUUAGUUUUCUGAGAAACAUUUGUAACUUUAAAUACUCAUAACAUUACAAGUACACUGAUUUGGACCUAAGAUCCAAUAAAAUACAAAGUAACUUCUAUGACUAAAAUUACAAUAAAAUCUCUUGAAAACGUCUUCUUCGCGGCGUCAAUCUCUGCUCGAAGAAAUACUCCAAAGACUUCGGUAAAGAGAUUGCAAUUGCACUGAAGCAACGAUGUUGUCACUCUUUUACCUGCACGAACACUACCAAUAAUGAUUUUUGAAAGCGCCUUGAGUUGCCCAUCCAAAGAGAUGAAAAGCCUGGAUCGAUGAACGUGCUUGGGUUGGGGAUGAUCCCCUAGAUGUGCAGGUCGUCGAAUCACUAUAUCUUCACCAUGUUGUCAAUGAAAGUUUUCAAUUCCACAAAAAAUCAGACCAACAAAAAAGCUUGACACAACAACAUAAAAAAAUCAGAUCUGAGUAAUCGGAUCUGCGAGGACAGAAAACUCUCUAACCUCAUGACACUGCCAAAAAAAUGAGUGAAAAUUUAUUCUCACAAAACUAUGAUAAUCAGUAGAAGAACAUAGAGAUCUUGAAGAUGCGAGGUCCCCCCACCUCUCAGCGCCAGGAUGACAGCCGGAGGCGAGGGGACCUAAAUUUCUCAGAUGACGACAGUGAUGGUACAAGAAACCCUUAUUGUUUGUUUAUUUUCUUGUGGGGUAAUUGUUUGUUUAGUAUGGUUGUUUGGCUGAACCAAGGGGCCUCAUCUGGCCUUCCCACGUGCAUAACAAGAAGUCGGUAGAAACUUGAGCCCAAAUGCUAGAUGACUGUUGUAAAACAAUCACCGGGUAGGCGGAAACUUUUACAAACAAAAACGAUCAAACGCAUGGUGACAUCCUGUGUACUAAUAUGGCUAAGAGAUCAAAUAGUUUGGUUUCCCAACUCCAACAAAAGCCAAAACGCCGGUGAGUUAGUUGCAGGGUCGAGCUCGCUUCCUAGCUAUCGGUGUCAUUUUCCAUCAUUUUUAUCCUCUGCUCCGAAUAGAUGGGAGCGUUAGGUGCCGAAAACCGCGUCCGCCAGAUGCGGAUCGGACGGAGUUGCAUGCGUUCGGUACGUCCACCAAGAAGAUGUGGUGUGCCACUUAGAUUUCCCAUUUCAAAAAUAUGUUUUCUGAAAUUCCACACCAUGAUUUGUAAGUUAAUGAAUCUUUAGAAUAUACUAUUUUUAAACAAGAAUAUAUAUCUAGAUCGAACAUUUAUAAUAAAUUGACCACCUUUUAAAUUUGUUGAAUAUUUUUAAACUUUAUAAAUAUUUUUAAAAUUUAGUGAUAAAAUUCUACUCUUUUGUAUUUUAUUUCAUUUAUCUAAACCAAAUAUAAAUUUUUUGCAUCUAAAAGAAAAAAUACAAUAGAUUCUGACAUAAAAAUGGGCCCGGACCAAUUUUAGUCCACGGAUACCGGUCCUGGGAUUUUGGCCAGCCCAGCACAGCGCCGCAUCCGCGUUUACUCGCUAUCCCGUGCCUUAUGUUACAGGAUAGGAGCUCUACUUUCUAAGCUUGAACAUUUUUGCAGGAAAUCUGUGUGCAAAAAUAUAAAAUAAAGAGAAAACCUAAGAAAAAGGCCAAUGCAAUAACAGUGAAAAAACCUAUUAAAAAAACACAGGGAAAAAACUUGUGGGCGCUCAAUUAUUGUGCUGGCCCAAAAUAGUCGGCUGCAGGCGAGCUGUAAUAAAAUCAGUACUGGCGAUGUAUAGCCUCUGCAAUAGUUGCUCAAUAAAAAAUGGUAUCUGGGAUUUUGGCUAGCCCAGCACAGCGCCGCAUCCGCGUUUACUCCCUAUCCCACGCCUUAUGCUACAUGAUAGGAGCUCUACUUUCAAAGCUUGAACAUUUUUAUUUUGUCAAAACAAGCAAACCCUCAAAACAAAUGUGAACGAAGAAGUAGGGACGUUGUAGUUGUACUUCUGUUCGACAGGUCUGGAACUUGGGAGAUCGCCUUAAUUAGGGCUAUGAUUGCUGUUAAUUUUUUUCCAACGAGGCAUCCCCCAUAUGAUCGCCGUUAUAAAGUUAGCUCGGAUGUUCUGAUUUUCCUUGUUUCCGCCGGUGCUCUGCUUUUACCUUAAUGGAGAAGGCGCAACGCCCAGGAACUCAGAAAUGAAGAUCAUCAAGCCAUUUCUACCGUGCGGCACCACUUUGACGAUAUCCUGCCCUUGUGGUAAUCCUUGCCCAAAGAACAGUAGUAGAGUACAUCGGACCUCAACACUCAGCAGAGAUUAGCACCAUGGAUAAUGCACCGCGAGAGACAGCAGCAGCCACAGAACGGGAAGCCACACACGGAGAUCCAGAGCGGAGCCCUGCAUCUGCUGCUUGAUUUUGGGUUUCCAGUGUGAUGAUUUGCUCAAGAGAAUACAAACAUCAGAGGAGCAUUAUGAUCCAAAUUCCUUGAAAUUCUCGUGGUGCACAUCGAUGUUGUAUCGUGUCGGCAGGAAGGCCACAGGCCAAAAGCUUUCUGGCCAUGCUGCAUAAUGCAGAGAUACAGAACAGCACAAUCAGACACUCUUCCAGGAGCCAGAACUUCUCUCUCGCUCAGCAGCCAACAAUCUCAGAAAACAAAUGAGCCAGUUCACACAAGUUACAUGUAAAUUUCCUCUUGCUUUCUUCCAUUACGCAUCAUCUAAUCAAUCCAUACUAUAUCGACAGCAGCUGCUGCAGCAGCCAGUGGAUGACACACAAGUAAGAACAGAGAAAGAUGGCAAAAAUUAUCAGUCUAUUUCCCGUGGAUUACAUGAUGAUAUGAUGAUGAUGAACUUAUUCACAUUAUCACAUAAGGCAGAGUAUCAGAUAUUCAGAACUUGAGUGGUAGUAAAACAGAGACCAAAAAUCCAAUUCUAUCGAGAUAGUAGAAGCACUUCGCAGUAGGCAGCCGCGCCGCCGCGUUAGUCCGGGAGCAGGAAGGGGAGGAGGUGACGCAUCCGAAGCAGGCGGGAGGC